rnacentral:lncRNA from 1 species
AAUUCGAUAAUCAAAUCAAAAUUCAAAUUCGAAUCCGAAACCCAUCGGGUUUCGAAAAUUCAUAUGCAGAACUAAACCCGAUUAAAAAUUCGAAACCUAAACUCGAACCACGAACCCAAAAUAGUCAUUUUUCUUUGGCUAAAUUAUAUAAAAUCUCCCUGUCAAAACCCAAAUUUUCACUUUUUUUCAUGUCAUUUAAAAACCUAUAUUUUGUCCCCUUGUAAAAUAAAAAAUAGUCACAGGGGGUACAGUGUAAACUGUGAUGACAAAAUGACCAUUUUGCUCCUCACCAUUUUUGGUAACAGGAGAGAAGGCUGAGGGUAUUUUUGGCAUACAAAAAUAUAAAAUAAUAUUUUAUAAACAGAACCCUAACGGAUCACUAACGGCAGGGGGGUGAAAUAAAUAUUUUUUAUUUUAUAAGGAGGCAAAGUGUAGGUUUUUAAAUAACAGAGAGGGAAAGUGAAAAAUCGGGUUUUGACAGGUAGAUUUUUUAUAAUUUAGCCUUUUUCUUUACCAUAUUUUAAAAUAUAUUUAUUAAAAUUAUAAAUUUAAAUAUUAUAUUAAACAUUCAUAUGUAUAUAUAUAGAGAGUGCAGUUACUAUACUCUUAUGAAUAUAGUAGCUGUUGUACUCAUAAGUUUUUAAUCAUCAAAUUUGCUUCAAUAUCUGUGCAGAUCUGAUAGCUUAUCAAACUAAAUUAACUACCCCCAGUUAACUCCAUUCAACCAAGUUAACUCUUAAUUAAUUUCUCCUCCAACAACCCAACCUUCCCCGACCACACCUACUAGGGUGCGGCACGGCCGACAUUUGCUGUGCCGAUUCGGGGUCUUCGCCUUCCACCCAACAAGCUUGGCUUGGAUUUUGUCCCAUAGGGGCUGGCAGUGUGUGGUGCUGGGCCGGAGCUACCAAGCCUUCGGCCUAGCACAUCCGCGGAAGGCCCGGUGUCGGGCCGGACCAUGCUCGGGGUCGAGCCCCUAAAAGGUUUUAUUUUUUUAGAAAAUAUGUAAAAUUUAAAAUAUAAACAAUAAAUUAUUUCUAUGUAAAUUAAUAUUUUGAUUAAAAAUUUAAAAUUUAUAAAAAUAAUUAUAAUAUAACAAAUAUUUAAUUUUUUCUAAUAUAUAUAUAUAUAUAUAUAAUUUUUUAUUUAAAAAAAAUUAAGAGCGUUUUUUGGUCCAAUCCAUUGGACCAAAAAGCUCCUCCCAAGGUCUGCGGUGAAAGACCUUUGGAGGAGAGCUCCUGGCCCUUUUACCUAGAAGCUCAAACCCUAAGACUGCCUUGAGCCUUGUCGUGUCAGGUCAUCGGGCCCAACAGGAGAGGCCCAACAUGGCCCUGAAGCUCGGGUCGGGCUAGGUCGGCACGGGUGCCACUGCACUCGUGCCGUACUACAGCCUAGCUCGAGGUCAUGCCGGGCCAGGCAAUCCGUACGGCCUCACCACCCAGCCCAUUUUACAUCCCUAGUUGCACUUGCACCACCCUUCUCCUUGGCCUAUGGCAUGGCCGCACUCUUGGUUGAGGGCGCCGGCACAUCAGACCUCCUCCCUCCUGGCCACCCACGCCGACACCACCGUAGAGAGAGAAAGAGAAAGAGAGUCCUACGGUGCUUUUAAAAGCACCGAGUAUUUGGUGCUUGUAAGGUUUUCACACUGUUAGAUUUAUCCCCUUGACUAAUUUCAUCCUUUUGAUCAUACUAUUUCACCAACUACCCACUUAAUCCUAGAGAUUAAUAUCAUUUUAACUCUAUAAAUUUUCGUUCAAAGACAAAAAAAUUAUAAGCAUCAAUAACUUAACACUUUUACAAGGUUUAUUCUUUUUCUUUUUGGAUGUGUAAGGAAGGACAAAAUUGAUUAUUUUACACAUUAAUCAUAAUUAAGUUAUUUGGUUCAACUUUACUUAUGGUUCAACAAAUUUUACUAACAGACUCUAAAAAUACGUAUAAAUAUGAACUUAUAGACACAUUAGGAGGGAGACAUAUUCAAUUACUCAAACUUUGGAGGAAUAUGUCUGUAAUUUGAUAUGUCUGCAAGGAUCGAGCUAAAUGCAAUUAAUUCAAAACGAUAUUUUAUGUUCCCCAAACCUAAUUAAAUUUUGGUUAAUUUCAUACCGGUCCCUGUAAAUAUAGUGAAUUGCAAAUAUAUCUCUGCAAAGUUCAAUUAUAUAUGUUGUCUCUGUAAAAGUUCUAAUAUUUUCAAAUAUAUUCUUUUUUAGAAAACUUUUACUUUUUUCAACUUUCAUUAUCCACAGUUUUCAUUUUCCAAUACAAAACAAAUCGAAUUCCCCUCAAAUAGAUUCUUUUUUAGAGAAAAAUAAUAUCCUAUUCAUUUCACUUAUUUUUUUUUAAAAAAUUUGUUAAAAAUAUAAAAUAAUUAAAUUUUAAAAUUUAAAAUUUGAGAUAUCAAUCAUUAAAUUUUUUACCGUAUGCGUUAACACAAAGGUCGAUACUAAUCAUCAAUAGUUAUUAAAUCUUUUGUUGGGUCUUUGGUCCCUAUUUUUUGUUUUUUUUUAAAAAAAAAAUUUGUGGUGUCAUUUAACUCACGGCUCUUUUUCAAUAGAAGGUUCUAAAGCGACCACCUCUAAAAUAUCUAAAUAAUAAAUUACUAAACCGUGGACAUGGGCUAAAUUGUGAUCGAAGGGGCUCAAAAUCAAUUUUGCGAUUUUUCAAAAAAUUUUGCAAUUUUUCGAUACCAUUUGCUUAGUGAUCGAAGGGGCUCAAAAUCAACAGCGGAAAAUAAAAAUCUUACAAAAUAUGAUGAUAUGAUAUUAAAAUUUUAGAUCAAAGAUAUUGAUAUUAUUUUAUAUAGUAUAAAGAAUUUUCUAUCAAAAUUUUACGUGAUUUGAAUAUUUCUACACCAUUGAACUUGCAAAUGGCUUACCAUAGCCAUUAAAAUUAUUGAUUUUGAGUUCCUUCGAUCACUAGGCAAAUGAUAUUAUAAAUCAAAAAAUUUAUUUUCUAGAUACUUUAAAUACUCUAUAUUAUGUCUAACGGAACCAAUUGUCGAUUCGAAAGCCCCAACGUCGAAAAUGACUUAGAAACAUAAAGAGCUCCGUACUUUUAGAAGUAUAUAAGCCUCUCUCUCUCUCUCUCUCUCUUCUCUCUUAAUUAGUAAGUAUAGAAUAUAAUAUAAGGAAAGAUAGGAGAGGGCGGUGCCGGGACACACGGCAGUAUAGGAACAUUAGUCACGGAAUUUAGUAUAUAGUAAUAAAUAAUAAAUAAUUCUAAACUCAUAGAACGUCGUAUGGGACUUUAUUAUAUUUGGAAAACACUCACGUUUAUAAAUGCACUAUUGAAACUUAACAAAUAAACAAAUAUUAAUCAAAAAUUAUUUAAAUAUGUGAGACUUCUUAUAUUGUUCUAUAUUUAAAAUAUAUAUUUUUGUAUUAUUUUCAGCAGCUAAAUUUUAUUAUGAUAGUUUUGAAAUUUCAGAAGAAACAUACAAAGAUCACAAAUAGAUAGAAUUUGAAACAUUACUUGAUUUAAUUUAUUGAUUAAUAUUAUUUAUGAGGAUUAUGAUUUGUGACAACACUUAGUCUUUCAAUAUCAGCUAAUUUAAUUACUUUAAUUAAUUUUAGUAAAUUAUUUUAGAACGUAAUUUUUGAAUAUUAAUAAUAUUAGUGAUAACUUCAAAUACCAUUCUUGUGUUUCAGACUUUCUCACUUUAUAUUCUGCAAGUUUAAAGAGUAUUCACUUUCGUAUCUAUGAUUUUAUUUUAUUUUUUUUUUUUUGUUAUUUUCUUCAUUAUUUUUUUCGUUAAAUCAGUGACAAAUUUAAAACUAAAGAAUAGUAAAAUAAAUAUUCAAUAAAGUAUAGAUAGUAUAUCUAAUUUUUUUAUAUAAUUUAAUAAAAAAUUAACGGAAGAACCCACGAAUCACAAAAUAUUAAUAUGAGAAAAUAUAAAAUUAUAAAAAUAAUAUUUAAAGUUUAUCUAUAAUAUUAUUACGCCAUUCAUGUCUCUUUCAUGAUUACGGAUCGAGACGAAUUCGUAGCGCGUGACAGGCAUCGCCAAUUGGUCAAUAAAUAAAUAAUUAAUUUAGAGAGUGAAAAGUAGUCAAUACUUCUGUGUCCAAUCAAUUUCGCAGACAAAUGAUCUUUGACUCUGAAGGACGAUCGACGGUGGUGAUUGAUUGAUGAUGAUUGUCGUGACAAGCAUUUAUUACAAACUUUUUUUUUUUUUUGCCUUUUUCUCUUUCGGCGGUAUGGCCGGUGAUAUUUCUCUUUUACAUCAAAUAUUGACCACGUUUUUUACAAUUCUGUGAGGUUUGUAUUGGAAAAAAAAAAAAAAAAAAAAAAAAAAAANNNNNNNNNUGUAUCAAGUUAGUACCCUGUGGUUUUGCACUUUAUCACUUUAGUACACUGUGGUUUUAAUUUUGUAUCAAGUUAAUACCCUGUGAUUUUUUAAACCAUAGAGUACUAAAGUGAUAAAGUGUGAAACCACAGAGUACUAAAGUGAUAAAGUGAAAAACCACAGGAUACUAACUUGAUACACUUUAAACCACAGAGUACUAAAGUGAUAAAGUGAGAAACCACAGGGUACUAACUUGAUACACUUUAAACCACAGGCUAUUAAAAUAAAAAAGUGUGAAACCACGGGGGUUUUUGAAGUUUUCCCAAAAAAAAUCUUCAAAUAUUCUUAUUUUUAAUAAUUUAUAAUUUAAAAUAAAUUAUUUUAGUAUUUUUUUCGUUAUUUUUUUCGUUUAUUUUUUGUUCAAAUAUAUAGAAAUAAAACUUCAGAUAACCCAAUAGUUUACCGAAUAUUCACUUUAUUAUCUCGUAAUUUACGAAAUUUUUUACUUUAGUGCUUUAUAUUUUCAACUUUCUUAUUGAUUUAACAAAAAAUUUAAUGAAUAAGAUAACGAAAAAAAAAAAAAACAAAACCAUAGAGUACUAAAGUGAUACAAUUUAAAUCACAAGAUAUUAAAAUGAGAAAUGCUGAACCAAGGGGUGGUAUUUGAAGUUUUUCCUGUCAAAAACUUUGUUAAUGACUUUUAGUUUUUGUUUGAUUCAAAAUUGAAAUAAAAAUAAAAAAAUUAACUUAAAUUGGAUUGAAAUAAAAAAUUGAAUAGCUAAUCAUUUAAAAAUAUUUUAUUUAUUAUUAAAAUGAAAAUUGAAAUAAAUAUCUAGAAUUUUGAGAUGGGUUUCGAUUAGAAGGAACAUAGUGAUGACUGACGAAGGAAGAGGAGAGCGGGAUAUUUACAAGAGAGGAUUUUAAGUGAUUUACUUUGGAAUAAAUUAAUCUGAAAUCUAAAGCCGGAUUGGAUCAAAAAUGAAUUAGAACAUUCCUUUUCCAAACUGAGAUGAGAUUCAUGAUUUCAUUCCUGUAUAACAAGCAACAACCACAGAAAUCAACAAAUCUCAUUCUGAGUUUACAGUCUAAAAUGAAUAAACCAAACAAGAUGUUAGGAAAAAGCGUACAAUUCUAAACUUUGGACCAUUUUAAUUCAAAUAUUUUUUUUAAUUUUUUUUUUAAAAUUUUAUUAUUUAAUUUUUUUAACUUGUUUAAUUUGAGUCAGUUAAUGUAACUUGAUUUUAGAAAAUGAAUUUAUCGCUUUUAUGUUUAUAGAUUUAGUUAAUAUUUUUCGUGUAAUUUUUAUAAUUAUAAAUUUAUUAAAGUAAUUAGCUUUAAUUUUAAAGCUAAAAUACUAUUAACUAAUUAAAAUAAAAAAAUUAAAAGAUUGCAUCAUAAAUUUAAAAUUUUUAAAUUUUAAAUAGUCAAAUUAAAAUAGUUUAUAAUUCAGGCAAAUUUUAUAUAUUUUUACCAUGACUGUAUAAAUAAUGUAAGACUUUAUCUUAAAUUAAGUACCCUUUUUACAAUUUUCGAAGUAUUUAUAAUACUUCUUUGUUGUUUCGGAUAACAAGGAAGCAUUCAAAUUGACAAUCAAUGUAUGUAAACAUGAUCUACCUAAAAUAUCAUAAUAAUACCUCAGUAUAAAUAUCUUUAAUUUUUAUUCUACAAAAUAAUGGUUCUAUUUAUGUAGUGUUUCUGAGUUUUGGAUAGGAUUGGCUUCAGUGUUAGUGACUGGUCGACACAUUUGGAGAGUGUCAGACUGCGUCGGAGUCGUUUCUGCGUAAAAUGGAUGCAAAAAUAGACUCGGCGCACUCAAAUAAGCAAAACUGGAGUUUUGCCAGAUUCGGGCGCCCAGAACAGAGUUUGGGCCGCCCAGAAGUUGAGUGCAAAACUGAGCAGAACUGGAAGCCAAUUCGGAUCCGUGUUUAUGGCGCCCGGAAGUAGGUCCGAAAACUUUACCUCGUGAAUUUCGAUCGUGCUGACGCGUGGCCGAUGGUAGGUGAGGUCCACCGGAGCCGGAUAUGGGCAUAGCACACCGCGGGCGGAGAGUCCGAUAAGGAAGUUUGUGUAGCCUGGAUGGUUCGGGCGCCCAUAAUGUGGGUUCGAGCGCCCGGAAAUGCCCGUUUCUGCAGAGAUACCAGAUACCAACUGUUCCUCUUGGGGCUUAUCUUACCCUUCUAGCAGCCUAUAAAUAGACGGAGAACAUCUCUAGUAUGCUCUUUUCCUCCCUUCUUCACAGAGAACCCUGAUUUUGCUCUUCAAUCCUCCAAAUCUUCUCAAAUUGCAUCAAAGGUCCACAAAUUCAGCUUGAGGAGUGCUGAUUCUGCAGUUUUCCAGCAACGACCUUCGGUAUUUUAGCUCGUGUGCGACGUAGGAAGGUCGGAUUGCGGUAAAACUUGGUUUGUUGGAUUCUAGAUUUUAAGAGGAAUCCACGAAGUACAAUAUUGCAGAUUUUGGUAAAGGUUAGCUUGGUUGGAGCUUAAGUUCUUCUCUGCUGCUGUUGUUUUGGGCAGAUUUUCAAGUUUAUGAGUUUUCUUUGAUGCUACCUUUGGAGGCAGGGGGAUUUUGGACCUGAGAUUGAUACUCCAUCAUUAUUCACUAGAUUUGAAACUUGUCUCACCUGAAUUGGAGAUUAUUAGGUGAGUUUUGACAUUGGAGUUGAGACAAUUAAGCUUAAGUGCUGAAAUUUGGUGAAUUGAUGGAUUUUGAUGGAUUUUGGGUGUAGAUCCUUCGAGUAGCUUUAUUGCUAGUUGUGGGUGAUCUCGGCUGAGGCUUACAGCAAUUCGUGGCCUUCUUGCUGCCAGGGAAAGAGCAUUUGAGGUGGGUGUUUCAUCGGUUUCGCUCCUAAGUGCUUGUAGUCGACAUGUAUGAUUUCGGUUCUUUUAUAUCAUGUUGUAGCUCAAAUUCAUUGAUUGUAGCAUGUAUAAAGUCUGAAUUGGGAGUAUGACUAUUAAUUAGCUGAAUAUACAUGUUAGACUUGAAAUUUGACUUAGGAGAAAACCAGCGAUUCGACCUGUCAUAUGAUUCUACUACUUGAUUUACCUCUAGGAGUCGUGGUUUGAUUGUAUCACUACUAUUUCAGCGCGGUGGAUAUCCGGGGUAGUUUAAAAAGCAUUUACGCUUGUGCUGGGAUGCGGAGCUUAUUUUUACAGUACAGUUUAGGUUGUUUCAGGUUGUCGGGUGCCGUCGAGGUGGACGGUGGACCCAGAUUUCUGUUUUUAGUCUCAGAUUGUGCCGAGGGCACGUGGGUUUGGUUUCUAGACCUGUUUUGACCCCAGCUUCUUGACUUUGGCUUGUUAGAGCCUGAUUGAGCUCGACAGAGAUACGCUGCAUACUAGGUUGGGUAGCUCCCACGAGUGCCACUCCCGAGACGGGCGCUGUGCUUUUGCCUUGGUGUCGUUCGUGCAGGUUGGACUUGCUCUCCACGGACUGGUUAGUGUGGAGGUAGCUGUAUAGUCGCAACUGCGCAGGACGGGUGUGUUCACAGUCCCAGGGACGGAUAUGAUUACAGUCUUUAUUUGAGAUUGGGUCUGAGUUGACACUAUUCUACAGAUGGUUAGAUUUAGAGCAUGAUAGUAUAGUGGCAUAUAGCUGUAGAUUUGUUCUAACUUUCUUUACUAUUCCUGCUUAUCCUUGUAGACUUGUGGAUAGAUCGAUGAGUUCGAGGACGGUACCCAUUGAGGACUACUUUUUUUUGUAGUAGUUCUCACGCCCAGUUGUUACCACUGUUUUUGCAAAGCCGUGGCCUUUGGCUGCUGUUGCUGAUCUUGAUCGUGGCAAGGGCGUCGCGAGUUAAAGCCCUUCCAGACGAGUUGCAGAGCUAGAGGAGCACCAGCUACAGGUAGUUGUAGUUUUUGGGCCUUUACAUACAGUUGUUGUAUGUCGCCAGAGACAGUAUUUGUAUACCCUGAAUGACAUAUAUGUAUUGAAUUGCAGUUUAUGUUUAUGGUUUAUUUUCCUAACUGCUCUAUACUACUGUUUGUAGUAUUGUAUGAUUACAGGUACUUCUAUUUUUUCGCUUCGUAUACAGGGGAACUACCUAUGCAUACGGCGGGUCUGUUAGCGAGCUCGGGGAAACGAGUAAUCCGGGACGUGACAAUCUGAAGGUGUUCGUGGAUCGGAUCGGCUCUAGCUAGUUGAUAUACUUUAUCCAUAUCCUAAAAAAAAAUGGAUAGAAAGAAAAUAUAUAUACCCUACUCAUUUAACUUCGAAUCAGGUCUAGAUCUGAGUGCUUAAGUUAAUAAUAUACCCAUCGGGUCUAUUUGAGCGGGUCUGAAUAGUGACUAUCAGUAUACUACGCGCUUAAAGCCGGGUAUAGGUUGGAUAUGAGUGCUUAAGUUAAUAAUAUACCCAUCGGGUCUAUUUGAGUGGGUCUGGAUAGUGACUAUCAGUAUACUACGCGCUUAAAGCAGGGUAUAGGUUGGAUAUGAGUCGGGUCUAGAUCAGGUAUGGAUAUUCAUAUGCAUAUAUUUUAUGUAGACUUUAUUAAAUAGUUUAUUAACAAACCUUAAACCUCUAGUUGUACCCAGUCCAAUAAAAUUCAUUCAAAAAUAGAUUCAAGCAGUAAAGAGUUAGAAUUAAAAAAUAAGGAUUAAAAUAAUAAAACGGAAUAAACAAAGCGACUAGGGUUUUUACUAGGAUAAAAAUAUAUAUAAAUUCUUCAUCUAUAAGCCCUAUUGAAAUUGAUCCCUCAACUUCAUUUUUUUUUUUAAUUUACAAUCGGGUAUUUCACGGGAUCCGGGUUCAGGUCUAGUUUCGGCUCCGGAUUUGGAAACUUUUUUGGACCCUACCUAUUAAAAGGUCGGGUUCAGAUCGGGUCCAUGUUGGAUAUGGUUAUAACGUAUCCAGACCAAUACUCAAAAUUUUAAUGGAUAAUUUUUUUUACUCAUAUACUAUCUAUUUUUUAUCGGAUAAGGUUGAGGUCUGGAUAAGGUUCGGAUCGGAUAUGGGAUAUCAGAUAUUUUGGAUAGUUUUAGUUCUACCUCAGUAUAAAUAUCUGUCUCACUAUAUUCAAAAUUAUUUAUCAAUUUUAAUAUUUUUAUUUUAACUUUUAUACCAUUCUACAUUAACUAUAAAUAAUAACCCGGAAAAAAUAAAAUUUUUUUUAUCAGGGCAUAACAGUCCAAAUGGUUAAAAUUUAGCGGCCAACUUAUAGUUGUACACGUAAGGAUACAUUUGAAUAUUUUAAAGCUUUAGAAGAAUAUAUUUGAUAAUUAAAAAAUUGUAAGCAUAAAGCCGUAAUUUUAAAAUCUUGUAGCCAUAGCCAUACGUAUAAAGUUAUAUAUUAUCCCUAUUAUACACCAACAUUAACACUAUAUUUCUACCGACCGUCCCUAGCGCAAGUGGCAAAGGGCUUGGUGAUUGAUACCCGAGGUUCCAAAUUCGAAUUCUAGUUGAUUCACAUUUCUAGCUAAGUUUAUUUUCAAAUGAAAUAAACGAAGCUCUCAUAUCAUUGAUUAUGGAGGAUAACAUGGUCCAGUUAAAGGUUUUCAAAUCGUAAAUAAACUAAUAUAAUACAUAUAUCGGUAGUAAACGGACUCCGUUGUCACUCAUUUGUUUUCAAUAAUAAAGCUUUCAAAUCGACGAUCGGUAUCGUUGAACAUGAUCUAUCCCUCUAGAAAUCAAAUUUUAAAUCUUUUUGACAUCAUGACCUAACGAUCAAAGAGUUUCAAAAUUUAUAAUUUUAAUAGUAGGGGAUAUGAGGCGUUUUCUCGUUUAACAGUAUAAAGCUAUCCAAAUCAAUUAAAUUUUGGUUAGAAAAUUCUUUAAACUAUUUAGGACAAGACCUAGACUCUUGAUCUUGAUUAUAAAAUUUCUAUCAUCAUUUUUUAGAAUAUAUUUAUUUUCAGUCGUUCAUUUUUACGCCCACUUGAUGGACAAGAAAUUAAACAAUAUCGAAAUAGUAUAAAAUUUGAUUUCUAAAUAUUUCAAGUGGUACAGAUUAUGUUCAAUGGUGUCGAUCGUCGAUUUAGAGGCUCCAUCGUCAAAAACAAAUGGAUGGCAAUAGAGCCCGUUUACUAUCGAUAGCAUUCCAGCUCAACUCUCUCUCUCUCUAUAUAUAUAUGAACAUUAUUGUUGUAUAAAGUUACUAUAUUACGUGCCCAUAAACUUAGCUGGAAAUAUGAAUCAACAAGGAUUCGAACUUGGGACCUCAGGUACCAACCAUCAAGCCUUUGCCACUUGCGCUAGGGACGGCUGGUCUAUUUAGUUUAAUUCUUUAUUAUUUCACAAGAUACAAUAUACAAUUGGUUUAGGAUUACUAAAAAGAGAUUUUCAUACAGUGUAGAUUGUAUAUAUCUAGCUUAAGAAAUUAAUAGGAAGUACACCAAAAAAUUUUUGUAUACGGCAUGCAAAUACUCUUAUAGAGUUGGUAUUUACAUGCCCUCUGCCUUAAAAAAAAAUAAUGCUUUGGUCGUCUACGUGUAUUCCCGACCAUAUAAUAUUUACACAAGAUGUUAUUUUGAUCUUGUUAGCUUUGUUAUAUAUAUAUAUAUAUAUAUAUAUAUAUAUAUAUAUAUAUAUAUAUAAGGUGCAUGUGCGGUUUUUCAUGCCAUGGGUAAGAUAAGCGUUUUACGGUGGCUUGUGCCGAUGGCUCCCCGCGGCAGUCACUUUGCUGGGUGUCUGGACUCUGCGGCGGCAAUGUCUUCCGGCGUUCAUUCACUCAACAAACAGAAUUAGGACUACAUGGGGUAAGACAGCCGAGACCUCGAGAGGGGAAGAGAAAAGCCAAAAAAAAAAAAAAAUCGUAAAUGCUGGGAGGUCUACAGCCUGCGAAUAACUCGAUUAGCUGAUAGAAGAUAUUCCCAAAGUUUCAUCAAUUAAAUGUUUCAGGUUUUGGGCAGCUAGUAGGGGGUCUGGCGGGACAUUUCUAAAGAUCAUUCCGUUUCUUAUCUCCCAACUGACCGACCAACAAACUACUAGAUCCAAGAACCUGUUGCUUGUUGGCUGCGGCCCAUUCCUACCCGUCCACCUGUCCCAGGCUGAGGUAACAUCGUCUGUUUUGUAAUUCCUGUGCAUAAUUGUAAUGUUUGAUGUACUUGACUUAAUUUUAUUUUAUUGCAUGCCUAUGAACUUUUCAUCAAGUUUUAGGAGUUGUUCAUUUGCACGUAGUUACAAUAUAAUUGUACGCAAGCUUCUCAAUUACAUACAGAUAAAUAAAUUUAUUUAUAGUUGCAAUGUUUUUAAAUGCAUCUAACCAAACGAAAUAUAUAUAAUUAUAACUGAUAUAUCUCAAACUGCAUGCAUCUCACCUACACUGUAUUUAUAAUUAUAUCGAACCAAAUGGCUCAUAAUAAUUUUCCUAACAUAAAAUAAUUUUUUUUUCCUAUAUAGAGUGUAAUUUUAUCAUUCCAUAUAUAAAAUCCUAAAAUUUUGUAAAUACAUUUGUCAACCACACAUAACCAAAUAACGUAUUUAUAGUUGCUGCAUUUUUUAUUAUGUUUAACGAAAUAAUAUAUAUAUAUAUAGAGAGAGAGAGAGAGAGAGAGAGAGAGAGAGUUGAGCUAGAAUACUAUCGAUAGCAAACGGCCUCCGUUGCCACCCAUUUGUUUUCGAUGAUAGAGCCUCUAAAUCGACGAUCGGCACCGUUGAAUAUAAUCUAUACCACUCGAAGUAUUUAGAUAUUAAAUUUCAAAUCUUUUCGACAUCAUUUGCCUAAUGAUCAAAGGGUUUCAAAAUUUGUAAUUUUAAUGGUCGAUAUGAGGCAUUUUCUCGUUUAACGGCGUAAAGAUAUCCAAAUCAAUUGAAUUUUUGUUAGAAAAUUCUUUAAACUAUUUAAAACACGAUCUAUACUCUUGAUCUUGAUUACAAGACUCUUAUCAUCAUUUUUUAAUGAAUAUUCAUUUUCAGCCGUUCAUUUUUGUGUCCACACGAUGGAUAAGAGAACAAUAUCGAAAAUGUAUGAAAUUUGAUUUCUACUUCAACUGUUAUAGAUCAUGUUCAACGGUGCCAAUUGUCGAUUUGGAGGUUCCAUCAUCGAAAACAAAUGGGUGACGGAGCCCGUUUGCUAUCGAUAGUAUUCUAGCUCAACUCUAUAUAUAUAUAUAUAUAUAGAGUAGGGCUACUAUACUCUUAUGAGUAUGGGGCCCUUCAUACUCAUAAGUUGUUUUCGAUGAUGGAGCUUACGAAUCGACGAUUCACUUCGUUAAAUAUGAUCUAGAAUAUUUGAAACUUUUAGAAAAUAAAUUUCGUAAUUUUUUAAAAUCAUAAUAAAGUCCAUCAAGUGGGUAUAAAAUGAACGGUCGAAAUCGAACGACGUCCUAAAAGUAGAUGAUCGGAUCUUUCAAUUUAAGAUCGGAGUUAUUGAUCUUUAUCUAGAUAGUGAAUACAAUCUUCUAUCAAAAAUUCAACUGAUUCCGAUUCUUUUACAUCAUUAAACAACCAUGUAUCUUAUACCGACCGUUAAAAAUUGUCAAUUUUGUGACCUUUUGAUCGUAAGGUAGAUGAUAUCAAAAAAUUAUAAAAUUUGAUUUCUAAAAGUUUUAAAUGCUCUAGAUAAUGUUUAACGGUAUGGAUCGUCGAUUCGGAAACUCUAUCAUCGAAAACAACUUAUGAGUACGAGGGCGAUCGUACUUAUAAGAGUAUAGUAGCCGAACUCUCUCUCUCUCUCUCUCUCUCUCUCUCUCUCUUUCUCUCUCUCUCUCUCUCUCUAUAUAUAUAUAAUAUAUGAGUUAUUAAGGAUCUUUUUCACAUAAGUAUCAUCCCCAUGUUGCGCUAUCAUGGUUUUUAGGCCAUUGCAUCUACUUUUAUUACAAAUAGCCCUUGGAUCAAACCUAUUCACCUACACACCUACUCACCAUCAAUCUCAACUUCUACAUCCUCUCCAUCCAAGGGCUCAAAACAACACAAGUAUCACUUGGGUGAUACUUAUAAAAGUAUUCUAAGCCCUUACUCUUAUAUAUAUAUAUAUAUGUAACUAUUGUUGAACUAAGAAUACCGCAUCGCGCGAAAUUGGAUUGUUGAUUAAAACUAACUAAUUUUAUGUGAUAACAUAAAUAAAUGAAACGUUACAGAUGACGCAAAUAUUCCAGAUAAGAUUUGAUCAUUAUCCGGAAGUGCGUGGGCACUGCCCUAAGAUAAUUUGUGCGGUGCGUAAUGUGACCUGUUUCCCGUCUUAUGUGCUGGAUUAACUCAGAGAAUAAAUCCCAAGGACAAACCGGAAUUCUCCUCCUGCGAGCAACUGAUUGUGAGGCGGUUGACCGAAAGAUUCUCCAACACCGUUAGCGGAUAAGGGAAUGUUAAUAAAUGAAAGAUAAAAGAUAUAAUGAUUAGAGACUUACAAUGAUCGAAAAUCUCUUUUACUGCCUGCCUAUCUUAACAAGAAUUGUAAGAAGAAAUGACUCUAAAAAGGAAAACAGAUUUUACGUUUUUUUCUCUACGAGAAAGGAGAAGCGGAAACUCGCCAACGUUAAUGGGAAGAACGGCGAAUCGAAAAAUAUCGCGUUGUUCUUUCUCAUUAAGAAAGAUAAUUAAAAUAAUUUUAAAUAACAUAAAAUAAAUACAGUAGUAAAAUAAAUAGCAAUCAUAAAUACAUAAAUAAUAAAUAAUUAAAGUUCAAAUACAAUAAAUUUCAAACUAAAUUUUGAGUUUUUCAUCAACAAUCCCCCACAAAAAUCAAAGUAUGUUAAAAUUCUGUAAUUAAAAUCAACAUUACUGGUUUGUUUAUACUAUGCAAUGGCGUGAGCGUGCCUUUAGAGACUUAACCUCACAUAGUGCUAAAUAGUUCCCAUCAGAAAGAAUCGGAUCAGUGCAACCAGGUCUUGAACUACGUUCUUUUGCCUUGACUUCAACUACUACACACAUCAGUACAGAAUCUCCGUCGCAGGUCUGUGCGUUUACUGGCCAUGCACAUACCUGAUUGUUUCAUAAGAGUUCUAUGGAUAAGCCCAUUACAUAGCCGCGGCCGCACAUACGGAUCACUCUUAUAAGCGUGGUUUCCCAGGGAUGUGAUGUAAAGUCACAUUCGCGAAAAUUAUCGCUUGGAUCCAUUAAAAGCUUCAGCUCAACUAAUCCACUACACAGAGCAUACUCACAUAGGGAUGGGAUUGUGAGCUAAAAGCUCUAUAUAAAAUUAUGUAAAAUUCUUUGGCAACAUGAAGUUAUUUUUACACAUUGACCUUCUUCAAGGAUCUCCUAUCACAAGGUGGGUCCCAGUGACCCCCGGAAACGCCGCCCGCUUUACCUGGGCAAAACCAUCCCCUCGCAUGCAUCUUCAGAGCUAGCUUCCUGUUAAGCUUUCAUUAAAAUGAUCUGUAAAACUUUUAUUCAGAUCUGAUAUAAAUUUUUAAAACAUAACAAUUAUGAUAAAAUUAAUCAUUUGAUAAUUUUAUAUCUAACUUUAUAUGAUGUUUAGUCUUAAAAUAUAUCAUUUUAGUUUAAAAUCGAGCACUAGGAUCAAAAUGAGCUGAAAAAAAAUGAAACGGAUCAUAACACUUAAAUUUGUCACUUAUAAAGAGUCUUCCUCCACCUAAAUCUCUGAGAUACAUCAAAUUUAAAAUAUGAUAUUCGAUCCUAAUUACACUUAGGUUUGAUUUAUCAACAAUAACAGAUGAUUAAAAUAAUUUUAAAAUUUUAAUUAAUAAUUUUGAAUCAAUCAUUGAUGCAAUCAAAACAAGCUAGCUAUACUCCAGCUAUAUAUACAAUUGUUAGAAGGAUAAAUUAACUCAGAACAGAGAAUGCUGCGCCUGCGCACAGUUUGGAGUCGUACUUGAGGGUUGAGUGGCACUCUCCUGUAGGUGUCAAUCCAUUGAACAAAAUCUUUACCUUCUUUUUUUUUUCGAAUUUAUCUAUAUCUUUAAAAUUAGUUUUAUAUAAAUGCCGAACAGCCGAAAGAAAUAUUUGUACAUGUCUCUCCCUUUUUUUUUUUUCGGAAACUACAUUACUGUAGGCAUUUUUUUGUUCUAACAAUCUAAAGGCGUAUUCCGUUCUUACUGCUGGGUUUAACUGGUAAAUAAAACCCAAGGUCACGACCGGAAUUCUCCUCCCUAACCGAGCACGAUCGUGAAGGGGUUGACAGAAGAUUCUCAACACCAGGGGAUAAGGAAAAUUGUCACGGCCGCGCCGGCGGAUUACACGUUCCCGGAGAACCCGACAAAUCCGCCGUAUACAAAGAAAUUUUCCUGUAUACGAUAGCGACAGCUGUACCUGUAAAUAAGUACACUAUACGAACAUAGUAGAGAGCUGCAGAGAAGACACAGAAGCUAAAUAACAAAGUUUCAUAUACAUAGUUCAGAUCUAAAAUACAGUAGUACUCCGCACUGGCGAUUAAGUCAACUAUGACAAUAAACUCAAACAAAACAUCUACUUACAGUAUGCACCUUCCUAGCUAGCACUGGGUAGGGCUAUAACUCUUUGCAACGCCGCUUGCCUCGAUCCUGAUCACGGACGGCUAGCAAACUGCAGCAGCCGGAACGCUGUAGCUUCUGCACAAAGACAUAGGUAACAACGUGGGCGUCGAGAACUACUGUAAAAAACAAGUAGUCCUCAGUGGGCCGCCCAAAACAACAUCGUCACCCACUAAGUCUGACAGAAUGGGACAAGAAUAGUCGGAAAAGCAUGGAAUACACUCCUAACCGUAUCAUCACUACACUUCCUAGCUCUACAUAACACACUGUAGGACUAUGUCAAAUCUGCCAAUCCACGGGACGUGUAAGCAAUCCCGUCCGGGACUGUGAAAUCAACCCGUUCCACUGCCCGUUGCGACCUAUCAAUCCUUCUAUCCACACUAACUUUGUCCGUGAGAGCAAGUCCCAAGCUAGGCAUGAACGUACACCGAACGCGAAACACAAAGCUGACUCGAGAGUGGCACUUCGUGGGGCAGCUACCCACCGAGUAUGCAAGUAUCUCUUCGAGCUCAAAUCAGGCUCCAACUAGCUAAAGUCAAGUAAUCGUACUUCAAAUGGUCUAACAACAACAGUAAUUGCCCUCGCACAAUCUGACGCUAAAAGGCUGAGACGAGUCCACGUCACUCGACGGCGCCCAACAGUCCGAACGACCUGAACGCCUGUAAAAUUCACGUCGGCAACCAGCACGGUGUAUAAUACAUUUUCUAACUAUCGAGUUAGCUCGUUCGAAGAAAACUACGACAGCACAUUUUCCUAACGCUCUAGAGCUAAAUCAGGUAGUUUAAAACUGGUGACAGGUCCAAAAUAGAGGUUUUCUCAUAAUUCAAUUUCAUCACACUGUAUAAUUUACUUAAUUGUAUUAAAACCAUGCUCCAAAUUCGAUUUCACAAUCUACAUAUAAGUCCUCAUGAAUUGAGCUACACAAUUUACUGAAAUCAAAUUAUAUACAGUGUCGACCAAUAAGAACUUAGGAUAAGCGAUUACGCCACCUCGAAAAGCUAUCCGCCUCGAGGCAAACGAAGGCCAUUCGAACCAGGAGCAACCUUGCUGAGUCAACUAGGGACUCAAGUCCGUGUGACGAGCUAACUGCAAGCUAAACAAUAAGGAUCCUUUAAUUCAGUCCAGAAAUUUCACAAGGCAGCUGGUAGAAACGGGAUUCGACCAGCUAACCUUACCAAAAUCUGGCAAAUAAGACUUCGUGAGAUUCCUCUUCGAAGUCCGAAUCCAACGAACCAGCCUCGUUGGAUCCGACGUUCUAUCGCAGAGAACGAUGCUGAAACACGAACAGUCGACGUCGAAUUUCAAGAAAAGAGCUUACUAACCGAUAGAAAUAGUACACUUUCCCAAAUCCAGAAAAGACGCCGAAUACUCACCGUCGACAACACCGGGCACCGCUGCGACAGAAAAACAGGCGAAAACCUCCGCUCGCCCGGCCUUCUCGCAGCAACACGACGACGGAAGUAUGCCCGAACGGCUCCGCGGCGCGACGUCGGCGACGAAUCCGAGCUCCCUCUUGCCUUCAACCGGAUGGGAGAGUGAGAGAGAUGGAGAAUUGCAGCAAGAAGGCCUCUCUCUCUCUCCCUACACGAAACUACAUAGAGGGGAGUGAAGGGAGAUACAAACGAGGGAGAGAAAAUUACUCAUUUAGCCCUCUACCUACCUUCUUGUACCGGUACACGGGCUCCUGUACCGGUACAAGAGCCAACCCGAGAGCAGCUAAAUCUGUGCGCGUAGCUUGUACCGGUACAGAAAACCCUUGUACCGGUACAGCAAGCAUUCCCCGCGCUGGUUGUACCGGUACAGCAUACUCUUGUACCGGUACAGCAAGCAGGAAAAUCUGCUGUUUGCAGAAUUCUUCGCGAUAAGCUGCCCUCGCGUCGCACGGAGUCCGUUUUACGUCUAUUUGACGCCAACGCGACUCGGGCUUGUCCCGACACUCUCCAGAGCUGUCGACAAGCCUCCAGUCAAACACCAGGGAUCUCACAGAAAUGUUCAAAAAUAAAAGAUAAAAGAAUAAAAUGGAUAGAGAUUAACCAAUGAUCGAAAAUCUUUACUGCCUGCUCUAUCUUAAGCAAGAAGUAAAAGAAAAAGACCUAAAAAGGAAAAGAAGAUUUUACGUUUUUUCUCUUACGAGAAAGAAGCGGAACCCGCCCAACGUAAUGCGGAAGAAACGGAACAGAAAAUAUUCCUUUAGUUUCUUUCUCAUUAAGAAAGAUAAUAAAAUAAUUAAAUAACAUAAAAUAAAUAAAAUAGUAAAUAAAUAGAAUCAUAAAUAAUAAAUAAUAAAUAAUUUAAAGUUCAAAUAAAAUAAAUUCAAACUUAAAAUUUUGAGUUUUUCAUCAACAUAUAUUACAUUCAUAACUGCACAUAUUUCGUAACUAUAUUAUAUUUAUAAUUACAUUCAAUCAAAUGACCCUUAAAACAAGAAGGCAUAUGAUCACAUGUAAAAGUUUUUGGCCAAUAUGCACAUUAUAGUACCUUAAACUUUUCCAUUUACAAACUUUUCCUUUUUUAUAAAUGCAUAUCAUUAAGUAGUUAAUGGGUAAUUAAACAAUUUUACAUAUUUAGAAAGCUAUGUACACAAAAUAAUCCUUUUUUCUUUUUCUUUUUCUCUUUUUUUGAAUUUCCUGGGCCUAUGCAAAGCCAAAAUUAAUCUGAAAAGGCACUUCUCAAAGAAGCCAAAAAAAUUGAAAAGCCGUGAAAAGAGUCGUUAGUGUCGGCAAGCAAGCAAACCAACAUUUACAAGUUUGGUACGAUGGGAACAUCAAUAAUAUCAUAAUUACCCUCUAAAUAUAUCAUAAUAUCAUAAUUACCCCUCUAAAUAUAUAGAUUCUUUCAAAUCUACCCUUAUUUGCAAACUCCGCUAAAUUUCACAUAGGAUUAAAAAUUACUUACUGAUUUUGCCUUUCAUCCUUAAAGGGUAUAGUGAGAAAAAAAAAAUUCAACCCCCUCAACUAUAGGCUAUUUUGAAGAAGUUCCCUAAUUAUUUUUUUUUUCCUGUGUAAAGACCCAUUCAAAUUUUAUUUAUUUCGUUUAAAAUAAAUUCAUUAAUUAAAUUAAAUAUUUUGUUCAAAGUCAAGGCACUCCAUUAGCAACUAAUUACUAAAUUUAGAAUUACACUAUUUUUGCAAGCCUAAUAAAAAUUUUAGUUAUUUCAUCAAAUUUAACAGCUUUAACUAUUUUUAUUUAAAGACAUUAUAGAUUUAAUAGUUAGUUGCUGAUGGAGUGUUUUAGUUUUGAACAACGUAUAUAAUUUAAUUCAUAGAGUUAAUUUAAAUUAAAAAAAAUGAUAAUUGAAUGGGUCUUUUAUACAAGGAAAAAAAUUAGGAAUCUUUUUAAAAAUAGUCUAUAGUUGAGGAAGUUGAAUAUAUAUUUUCUCACUGUAACCUCUAACAACUUUCAAGGAUGAAGGAAAAAAUCGGUAAUUAAUUUUUAAUCUCAUAUAAAUUUAACGGAGUUUGCAAAUAAGGGUAGAUUUGAAAGAAUCUAUAUAUUUAAAGCGUAAUUAUGAUAUUAUUGAUUUUAUGAGGGUAUUUACAAUAUUAUCAAUCUUUUGAACGGCACGGGUUCACCUAAUAUUUUUAUCCUCUAAUUUUUAUUUAUUUUCAUUUUUUAAAAUUUUAUAAAUCAUUUUAAUCAAUUUUUAUAAACUAAUUUAUUUGAUUAAAUAUUAACGUGUCGUUGGUGUAGAAAUGAUGUGACAUCUUAAUUAUUGUCGAUUACUAAUUACAAACCUGCUACAUUCUUUUUAUAUUGACAACAUAUUAAUAUAUAUUUAGUGAACUAAAUAUAUUGUGAGAGUUAAUUGUAAUUAUUCAAAAAGUUUGGGUCAUAAAUUAUAAUAAAUUAAAGUUUGAAAACCAAAGUAUGAAGACCUCAUAGUUUGAGGAUUGAAAGUAUAAUCUUAGCCUUUUUUUCUUUUUUUCUUUUUUUUGUCACACUAACCCUCCUACUAUUUGUAAUUUACUUUGCGACUACUUAGUUGUACAAGAUUUUAAGCAAUGUGAAAACCCACUUGGAAUUAACAGGUCUCCAAAUCAAACUCUCCAAACAAGAGUCAAAGGUCAAGUAGUUUAUUAAGCAAAAUUUGGACCUUGUUGCUUCUACAAGAUUUUAAGCAAUGCACAAGAGCAAAAAAAAUUAAAUAAAUAAAAAAAUAAAGGGCUCCCUAUUUAAUUUAUUGGUUCUGUUAGAAUAAUAAUCCAAACUUAAUUAAAAUAAUAAUUAGAAAUGAGCUUAAAUCUUUUAUUUGAUUAUGAUUAAGAUUUGUAGUUAUUCAAAAUAAAAGUUGCAUUUAUCAUCUGUUAUGACUUGAUAACUACAUAUAGUUGUAAUUGACUUUGGUUUUGCGAUAUUAUAGAAAGUUAAAUUCAACCGAAGAUAAAACUAUGGUAAAUUAAAUAAUAAAAAUAAGGGUUAAUUCAUACAACUCUCUGCAAAUAUAUCGAAUAGCAAAUAUAAUCCUAUAGAGUUUAACUUUUCAUAUUUAUCUCUGUAAAAAUUCAAUGAUAUUCAUAUUUGCGUCUCUAAUUUGUUACCGUUAGAGUACUGUUUAUUUUUCAAUAAAAGAUAAGUGAAAUGAUAUUUUUUGUCAUCACAAAUAUGUUUCUCUAAAAGUUCCCGCCGUUAAAAUUAUGCAGAAAUGUUCUUCGAAAAAUUCUCAACGGUAAUUUUUUUUCUUUCUACCGUCACAAAUAAUAUAGAACGGGUAAAAGGUCAAAUUUAAAAAUAUUAGUAUUUUUGUAGGAAUAAAUAUGGAAGAAUUAAACUUUAUAGAAAUAUAUUUAUAGAGAGCUGUAUACGAUUAACCCUAAAAAUAAACUUAGCUGCAAAUGUGAAUCAACUCGAAUUCGAAAUUGGGACGUGGAAUAUCAAUCGCCAAAUUCUUUACCACUUGCUCUGGAGGCUAUCCAUCUUAUUUAUUUUAUUUAAAAAUAAUUUUAAUUAAAAAUAUGAAUUAAUUAGGAUUCGAAUAAGGGUGUGUUUGGAUCCAUGUAAAAUAAGUCCGAAAACUUUUUUUCAGUUAAAAAAUAGUUUUCCAUUGUUUGGUUCUCUGUAAAAAAAUUUUCUCGGAAAUUUUUUUUUACGAAUAGGCGGAAAAAUCGCGUUUUCAUUUUCCGCUCUGUCCAAGUGGAAAACGAAAAGCUACAGUAAAAAAGUCGGAGCUCUCAGGCCCGGCUCCAUCCUUUUGUGCGCGGUUCACGCGGUGUGCUUCACCUCGUGGACCGAGCAGAGCAGAGCAGUGAACCUAGCUCUCUCUCCCUUUUUAAUUAUAUAUAUUUUUUAUUUUUUUUAUUUUAUUUUUUAUAUAAAUAUAUUAUUAUAUAAUAUUUUAUUUAUAAAUAUAUAAUAAUUAUUUUAUAAUAUUAAAUAUAUAUUAUUAUAUAUUAUAUUACAUAUUUAUUAUAUAAUAUAAUAUUUAUUAUAUAAUAUAUAAUAUAUAUAAAUUAUAAUAAUUAAAUAUAUUAUGAUAAUUAUAAUAUACUAAUAAUAUAUAAUAUAUAUAAUUAGAGAAAAUAUAUAUAAUAAUUAUAAUAUACUAAUAAUAUAUAUAAUAAAAAAUAUAUUAAAUAGUUGUUCAUCUAUUUUUUUUUUCUUUCAAUCAAAUAACUGUCAUGAAAAACUAUUUUUCUUUUUCUAUAAACCAAACACAAACAAUAUAAAAUUUGUUUUCACCAAAAAUUUUAUUUUUAUAAUUUUACGUGGAACCAAACACAUCCUAAGUGAGGCCUGCAAAAUUUUGGUCGUCGUUAGCAGGAAGGGAGCAGCUAAGGAGGGGCCCACGCACCUGCUGGGACGGCCACGUUGCCGAUCCUAAAACCGCGUAAAAUUGUCGGGAAAACGAGUUAGAUACCAAGAUCAAGUCAAAAAAAUGAACAGAGAAAAAAAAGAAACACGUGGCUACUAUGCAAUGAUAAUUGAAACAUUCAAACUUUGUAGGGACUAGAGAAAGAGAGAUAGAUAGAGAGAUUGAGUACUUUUUUUUUUCUUAUUUUAUUUUAAUUGAUUUUUGAAAAGCUAUUGAAAACACCAGUUUUCGGUACGGCCCAGUAUCAGAAAAACUGGCCUAACUCCAUCAAUAAAAUUAUUUUAUUUAGAUUCAUCCGUCUUAUCUUUAUUAAUUAAUAAAAAAAUAUUUUUUUAUUAUUUUUUAAGAAGAGAAAUAUGAUUUGCUUGUUACCGAUAAUGUGAUGUAAGUAGGACACUGCAAACUUCCUCCCGUAUUGGCCGAUUUGAUUCGAUUUGAUUUUUUGUAGUUUUUUUUAAAAAGUUAAAUUAAAUUCGAGUAAAAAAUAUGAAUUGAAGAGAAUUGAUUUAUGUGGCUUUAGCAAAAUAUUUUUUGUGUAAUUUAAACUUUUUAAACUGAUAAAAAUAAUAUAUAAUCAGAAUUAAUUUUAUAUUAAGAAUUAUUAAUUUAAGACAGAUAUUAUUGAUUACAUCUUUAAUUAUUUGAUCGGUAUUUAAAAUUAAUACAUAAAAUUUUUAAAAUUUACGACUAAUAUGUAUUAAAUAACAAAAAUUUCGGUUUAUUUGGUUUAUUUAGUUUUUUUGCUUCUUAUUUUUAGAGCCGAACCGAACCGAUUAUAUGUAAAAAUCGAACUGAAUCAGCCAAUUUUGGCAAAUUCAGUUCCGUAUUAAGUACUAUAAUGCUCACUCCUAGUUUUGGGUAGCAUUAAAGUGUUGAUUUUUGAUGCCCCAACUUUCAAGGAGGUCAUCUUUUCUAGGAUUAUUUUCAUUCUAGUACGUUUAACUCUUUUAACCUUUUUGGCCUAGCCAUCACCCAAAAUGUUUAAAGCGUCUUGUCAUUUCGAUACUGGCUCAGCCGAGAUUCAUCUCACACUUUCGGCUAGUAAUUGACUCUAAUACCAACUGUGACGCCCAAAUUUCUCAGGAGGUCACCCAUCCUAGGACUACUUUCGUCUUAACAUACUGAACUUUCUUAAUCUCUUGGGCCUAACUACAACCUAAAAUGCUUCGGCCGGAUUAAGAAUUUAGCUCUAUUAUAUCUUAUAUAUAGGACUAUAGAGGGUCUCACAUGAUUUUUUUCCCUUUUCUUUUUGAAACUUGAAAGAGGUCAGGGUAUAAAUUUUUUAAAUUAUACGCCACAAGAGAUUUUAUAGAAUUAUGCUACUAUACAAUCGAUAGUAUCAAGCGCUCGGUGUUAUCGAAUUUUUGGCCGUUGGAUGAAAGAAUGUGCAGUUAGGAUGAUAGUAGUCCCUUAGAAUUGAAUGGGUAGUUAGUUGAAUAGUAUAAUCUAAUGGGUGGAAAUGAUUAAAAGAUAGAUCUAACGACAGAAAACUUGAUAGUACCAAGAAUUUAGUACUAUCGAUAUUGAUAGUAUAAUAGCCGAACUCUCUGUCUCUGUCUCUCUCUCUCUAUAUAUAUAUAUAUAUAUAUCUAUUAUUUAGUGAUGUGUUAUUAUCUACCGAAUUGAAUUUUAUUUUUGUGAGCCAAAAUUUUAUUUUUAUAUUUUGCUGCAGAAGAAAUUUUAGAUAUUUUUUGGGUUAAAAUGUAUAGAUGCCCAGUAAACUUUACCCUACUUUGAAAUUACUGUAAAUAUAAUAAUAUAUAAGACAUUGGCUUAAAUUUCUCGAAUUAUCACUUGUUAAAAUCACCAAAAUAAAUCACAAAAAUAUUAUGAUGAAUAUGCACUCAUUGCAAUUCAAUAAUAUAUAAUACAUUUAUAUUAUUCCAUCACCAAUAAUGUGUGACAGCCAAAAACAGCUGCUAUAACAUCUGUUAAUAAAAAAUAACAAAUCACAUAAACUAACCAACAAUAAUUAAUAAUUAAUAAUGUCCCCCCUUUUUAGAAGAGUUAAAAAUUAUUCAAAUUUGAAAAUAGUUAGCAACUAAAUUAAUCAAUAUCCUUUUCCUAGCAAGUACAAUUUCUCUAAAGUAGGAGGGUCAUAUUGAAAAUAUUAAUCCGCUUCUCCAAUUAAUCUUGUGAUCUCACAACUUAAAAGUGAGCCAUGACUUGUUAUCUUCUUCGGGCUUAACCACAUUCGUUUGAUAAGGUGCCUUGGAAUUAAUCCUGAAAAAUAAUAAUAAACCAAUGUUAAAUUUAAAUUCAAAUUUAAAUUUAAAAGUAUGCGAGGAUAAUUUGAUUUGAAUUUAUAGGGUAAAAAAAAUAUUACUCACCUAUGCUUUCUUUUUUGGAGAAAUCUAUGAAGGGAAUUUCUCCGCGCAAUUGGCAUAUCUGUUUGUCACAAAUUAAAAAGAAAAUGUUAGAAUUUUAUUUAUAUAUAAAUAAAAAACUUAAAUUGGAGAUCUGAAUUUGUAUAAUUUGUAGCCUUUAAUUGUUUUGUUGAAAAAUGUAUGCAAUGAUCUAAAUUUGUAUAAUUUGUAGCUCUUAUUUUUCGCGCACUAUGACAUGUUAGGAGAUCUACUCAGUGAGCAAAAAAUUUCUGUAUGCAAAUUACAUACAAAUAUUCAAAAAAUAUAUAUUUUUUAAAAAAUAUAUAUAGCACACCAUAUUAAGCUAAAAAUUUAAUUUGAUGCUAGGAUGUAUAAACUAAAAAAAUAGAUAAAAAUAUAUUAUAUAAUUCGACACUAAAUUUUAAACUAAAAAAAUAAUAAAAAAAAAUUAAAACAAACUUUAUGUGAGAGAGAGAGAGAGAGAGAUUAUAAUUUUACCAGAGGCAGUGGUCUGCAUAGUACUCGGCAAAGUGCUCUGGGCGGCUGCCACGUGUCCUCCUCCGGUUGCGAAACCGAAAUUUUCGGCUGAGACCCUGCCCUUUUUCGCCAUUUCAAUCAACUCCUCGUACUUCUCGCCAGAAAUAUUGUCGAAAACCAACACUUCCCCCCCGUAGAAUAUCGUUAAUUGCUCAUUCGUCCCUUCCCUAAAUAAAGUUUUUUUUUAAAAAGAAAAAUUAAUAAUUAGUUAAGAAAAUUAAAGCAUUAAUUGUUAAAGUUUAAACUUGCAAAGAGCUAGGGAGAGGCAAAAAAUACAUAUAUGGAGACCCCUCAUCUCUAAAUUGAGGAGUUGAGGGGUCUCGAUGCAUUUUCUUUUUUUUUUACGAAAUAUAAAUGGGGUUCCCCCCAAAAAAAUAAAAUAAAAUAAAAAUCUUACUUGUUAACAUUUUGGUCCUUGUAAGAAACGUCGACGGUGUGGGAAGUGAAUUCCGGGAAGUGGACUUCGGUCGAUUCGGGGGCAUUUAAGUCAAUUCCGGGCAUCAGGUUCAUGGUGAUUGGUGGGCGAAAUACACCUAAAAUUAAGAAAAAAACAAAAUAUCAAUAUAACUACACAAAAAAAAAGGGGGAUAUAUCUCAUAAAAUAUAAAUUUGUUUUAAUUUUCAAAACUCUGUAUUAGUUAAUAUAAAUUUGUGAAGGGAAAAAAACCAUAUAUAAUUAUUGUUACCUUCUUUUUGUAAAUAUUUUGGGCUUCAAACGUUAUAUAAUCAUCUUCUAAAGAAUACGUGAAACCAAAAACAACCAAUAAAAGAGAGGAAAAGAAAAAACCUAUAUAAAGAUCAUCAAAUUAAAACCACCAAAAAUUUCUUGGUUGUGUUGGAAAAACAUGAAAAAUUAAGCAAAACAAAGGAAAAAAAAAAGAGAAAACAUAUAUAAAAAAAAAAUAUAUGUAUAUAUUUAUUACCUUUUGGUCCUUGAUCAAGAGCCAUCUCAAAAUCCAACCCCCCAAAGCUUUUUUUCUCCUUCAUGUAUUGGCUCAAGAGGCUACAAGUGAGAGAAAAUUUGGUUGUUUUCUCUCUCCUCUCCUCCAUAACCAUGUUCAUGUUCCUCUCCAUGGCUUUCUCUCUCUCUUCUUCUCUUCAAUUCUCUCUCUCUCUAUGUUUCUCUCUCCUCCUCCUCCUUUCUUUUAUAAUAGUCCCUAUGAGAGAGAGAGAGAAAAUGAAUGGGUUUUUGUGGCACGUGCGUUUUUGGGUUGGACAUUGGGAAUAAAUUAAAAAAAAAAACAACUAAAAUAGUUAAAACCAACACGUGGUCACAUUUUCUUUUUUCUUUUUUUUUUCUUUUUUUAGGUAACACACGUAACAUGUUUGACGAAGUCCACAGCAUACACCGCGUUUUUUGUUAUGCGUGCACAUAUUUUAAUCCAUUGUGGCACAUGUGUCACGAAACGGCCCUUUUAAGCGCACAUUACGCGCACAUAAAAAAUGAACACUAAAGAGACCAAAAAUAGGGAUUCCAAAGCGCCCCGGUUGGCGCAACUUCCGCCCCGAUCCCCCCCGCAUGGGACUAUAAGCGGAAACAAAAAUAAUAAAAAAAUAUAAUCCGUUCCGACUUCGUUUCAAUUCGUAAGUAAAUGAAGCGUGAUGCGGGAGACUCUUUUCUUUCUUCAAUCUAUUUCGAUCCGUCAAAAAUCCACCAAAUAUCUACGUAAGCGAGAACAAAAAAUAAAAUAAAAAUUAGCCAGUCCCGAAUCCGUCCUGCUCCGACAAAAAACAAAGCGGGAGGUGGGAGAACCCUCCCACCUCUGGAUCCGCUUUGUUUGCAUCCCUAACCGAAACGUGGGGCUCCAUGCGGGAUUAGUUGGAAAAAUUGCAUCCCUAAAAGAAAACGUGGGGCUCCAUUUGGAUUAGUUGGAAAAAUUAUUAGGCGUGUUAGAUACGGAUCUAUUCACUUUAUUAAACAUAGCCAAAAAUUUUUAAAUGUGUUUUAUUUUUUUUUUAAGAAGCUUCGAAGAAGCGACCAUUCUUGUUUAGCACAAUUGGGCGGGUUCGACGUGCAUUUAAAAUGAGACAACAUGUACGGGCAUGGUAAGAAAACAAUAAAAAAAAAAAGCUUAUAAGAAAAUGUGGUUUGGAAAAAAAAAGGGGUGGGGCUAAAUUAUAAAACGUUUCUUAUACUUUAGCCCUAGUCUUAAUUAUUUUUCUAUAUUAAAAAUUAUAUUGAUUACCAUCAUGCACUUUCUCAUCAUCUCAAAUGGAUCUAAAAAACUUGAAAAUUUGGUAAAUUAGUAAUAUAAAGUUUUACUAAAAGGAGUUGGCAUAUCUUAUUGUUCCACAUCUUAAUAUAUAUUCAAUUUAAGACUCAGAAAAUAUAUAUAUACAAAAUUUAAAUUAAGGGGAUAUUCUAUUUUGCUAGUAUUAGGCUUAGUUUGGUAUUGAGACAUAUCUAACGCUAUUAGAUAGAAUGGAGUCAAGAAAAAGUACAUAGGGAUAUGUUUCUGCGUUCUCCGAUGGGACCGCAGAAAAUAUAUUGUAACCGACUCAUCGCGAUAUGCGGAACGCAAUAUUAGGUACGGAAACAAACGGGGUAUUUUUCCAAACGUAACGCAAUCUCUCCGCAAUCCCAAACGAAGCCUUAGUCAAGUUGAUAGUUUAUUGAGCAAUUUAUUCAAUUUAUGUGAUUUUAUUGUAUUAAUUACUUAUGAAUAACUUUAUCUGUAAAUUUAUCUUUAUAAAGUUUUAUAGUCGAAUUCAAUAAUUAUUCUAAAUCGCUUGAUUUAUUUAAAAUAAUGAUAAAGUGUAAGAGUGUAACUGAUGCAAAUUUUUAUGCGUGAAAAAAUUGAAACGUGAGCUUAAGUGUAAUUAAGAAAACUUUUUAUAAUUUAGCCUUGAAAAAAAAAUAUGUCUCAAAAUAAAAAAGAUACGACAUUAUUAAAUCGACACCACUUGCAAAAAUCUUACACUCUACCUUUCAAAACCCAUAUUUACUCAUUAAUUUUAUAAACUUUUUCUUUAAUACUAAAAAUCUAAAAAAAAAGAAUUAAGAGGUAUAAAAAUUACAUCCUAUCCUAUGAUAGUGUAAAGAAAUAACAAUUUUUAUGUUGUUAUUAAUUCUUAAAAACACAUGUAAAUCAUGUUCUAUCAAAUUAAGUUUUAGUCAAUUCUAAAUCCUUUGGUUCCCUAAAAUUUUUCUUACAAUGAGUACCAAAAUUAAUUUUACCUUAUCAUAUUAAAAAAUAUCGGUAUUAGAUUAAUAUUUUUGAUAAUAUAUUCUUAAUUGCUUCCUCGAUCUUAAGUUGUUUUCUUACUAUUGAGUGGUAGUACAAGUUGUUUGGACAAAAAUUGGGCCAUAAAAUUUGAGCUUGAAAAAGUGGAACAAGUACUAUUGGGAAUCUUGGACUAAUGCAUACUAAAUACACAUGAGAGUGUUGGACACUGCUUAUUUUAAUUUCCAGUCAAAAUUUCACUCUUUGAGAAUCGAAAGUAUCCUUUUCGAGUUUCAAUUUUUUUUUUCGACCUAAUCCAUCUAAGAAAGUGAUUAACAGCGAAGGUUUGUUUGAAUUGUCAGAUAUGUUAUCCUUUGAUAAUAGCGUGGAACUGAUUAAUUUCCUGCAAAGUGUUCGUAAAAAAUGACUUAGAACGUACCAAACUACUGUUCUCAAUAUCAUGAAUUAUUAUAUAUAUUUGAGUAAAUAAAAAGAUGUAACAAAGAAGAUGUAUAUAUAUGUAUUUAUAUGUAUGCAUUUAUGACAAAAUUUGAAUAGUUUUCACUUUAAUUUUUACCGACUUUCAAAAACCUAUAUUUAACCACCUCAAAAUUUCAAAUUGAUUACACUUAGCUUAACUAUACUUAGUUAAGGUUCCGUCACUCUUCCGUAUUUUUCUUAUAAUUUAUAACCAAAAUACCAUUGAAAAAUUACACAAAUACAUCAAAAAGUACUUUCUUUUCCCUCUUGAAUAAAUAAGAAAAAUCCGGUCAUUUCGCACUCUAUAUUAAUAUCAUAGCCCUCUAAACAUAUUUUUGAAAUUUUGAAUGAAAAAUAUGUAUGUUUCUAAAAUUAUGAACGAAAAGUUAAAAAGCAGAUAUUUACAGAAAUUUUUUCUAAGUAGGGUGUUGAAGUACUUAUGGAUUCAAGAUUUGGAUGGAGGGGCUUCAAGUACAAUUGUAAGGAACGAGUUUUCGAUUAUUUCUUAAAUUAACAAGGCCUAACUUAAAUUUGGCUAAAAGCCUAGUUCAUAAAGCUUAAUAAAAGUUGAAGAUUCAUUAAUACAUGAUAUAUAUAUAGAGUUGAGCUAGAAUACUCUCGAUAGUAAACGAGCCGUUUUACUAUUGAGUUGUUUUCGAUAAUAGAGCUUCCAAAUUGACGAUCGGCUCCGUUGAACAUGAUCUAUACCACUUGAAGUGUUUAGAAAUCAAAUUUCAAAUCUUUUUGACAUCAUUUGCCUAAUGAUCAAAGGGUUUCAAAAUUUGUAAUUUUAAUGGUGGAUAAGGGACGUUUUCUCGUUUAACGGUGUAAAGAUAUCCAAAUCAAUUGAAUUUUUGUUAGAAAAUUCUUUAAAGUAUUUAAAACAAGAUCUAUACUCUUGAUCUUGAUUACAAGACUCCUAUCAUCAUUUUUUAAAGAAUAUUUAUUUUCAGCCAUUCAUUUUUCUGUUCACUAGAUAGAUAAAAAAUAAUAUCGAAAGUGCGUGAAAUUUGAUUUCUAGGUAGUUCAAAUGGUUUAGAUCAUAUUUAACGGAGCCGAUCGUCAAUUUGGAAGCUCUAUCAUCGAAAACAACACGAUAGUAAAACAGCUCGUUUACUAUCGAGAGUAUUCUAGCUCAACUCUCUCUCUCUCUCUCUCUCUCUCUCUCUCUCUCUCUCUCUCUCUAUAUAUAUAUAUAUAUAUAUAUAUAUAUAUAUAGAAUAUAUAUAUAGUUCCGGCUAUGUGCUUGAUAAAGCACAAAGCACUUGUUGGUGGUUUUGUAAUUUUUUACCGUUAGAUUUACACCUUUAUCAAUUUUCACCAUUAGAUUAUACUAUUCAACCAACACCCACUACAACCCUAGGGGCCCACAUCUCCUAACUGCACAUCUUUAAUCCAAGCAGCCGAAAAAAUUACAAGCACCAAUGAUUUGGUACUUUUAAAAGCAUAGGAGCUCAAUUUAUAUAAUAUAUUAUAUAUAUAUAUAUAUAUAUAUUAUAUAUAUAUAUAGUGAUGCUACUAUGCUAUCGGAAGCACGAGCCUUCCGUGCUUCCAGCUCGUUUUCGAUGUGCGGACUUAGAAUAUCGAUCGGCUCCCGUUAAACUUGAUCUAGAGUAUUUGAAGUACCUAGAAAAUAAAUUUUAUGAUUUUACGAUAUCAUUUGCCUAGUGAACGAAGGGGCUCAAAAUCAACGGCUGAAAAUAAAAAUCUUACAAAAUGUAAUAAUAUGACAUUAAAAUUUUAAAUCAAAGAUAUUGAUCUUGUUUUAUAUAGUAUAAAGAAUUUUCUAUCAAAAUUUCACGUGAUUUGGAUAUUUCUACACCGUUAAACUUGCAAACGGCUCACUACGGCCAUUGAAAUUUGUUAAUUUUGAGCCCAUUCGAUCACUAGGUAAAUGAUAUUGAAAAAUAAUAAAAUUUAUUUUCUAGGUACUCCAAAUACUCUAGAUCAAGUUUAACGGAGCCGAUCGACGAUUCCAAAGUCGCAACAUCAAAAACGAGCUGGAAGCACGGAAGGCUCCGUGCUUCCGAUAGCAUAGUAGCCUCACUCUAUAUAUAUAUAUAUAUAUAUAGAAUUAUGCUACUAUACUAUCAAUAGUACCAAGUUUUUGGUACUAUUGAGUUUUUGGCCGUUGGGUGAAUAGAUGUGCGGUUAGGAUGAUAGUGGUCCCCGGUUAAAUUGAUAGUGGUCCCCUAGGGUUGAGUGGGUGGUUGGUUUAAUAGUAUAAUCUAACGGGUGGAAAUGAUCAAAGGGUAGAUUUAACGGUAGAAAACUCAAUAGUACCAAGGGCUUGGUACUAUCGAUAGUAUAGUAGCCGGACUCUAUAUAUAUAUAUAUAUAUAUAUAUAUAUAUAGUAGGACUACUGUGCUAUUAGGAGCACAGCAAGCCUUGUGCUCCUAAGUUCCUAACCGUCUAUCAAUUUUUAUGGGUGGUUAGGGUGAGAGAGAAAAAAAAAAUUGAAGAGAAAUUCAAAGAGAAGAGAAAUUGAGAAACCCAAUUUCUCUUCAAUUUCUCUUCUCUCUUUCAUCCUAACCACCCAUCAAAUUUGAUGGACGAUUAAGAACUUAGAAGCCAAGAGUUGCCGUGCUCCUAAUAGCAGAGUAGCCCUACUCUAUAUAUAUAUAUAUAUAUAUAUAUAUAUAUAAAAUCAUCCCUUUAACCUAACCCUUUUUUUUUUCUCAAAAAAAAAACCUAAUCCUAAUGCUUAUGCUAGUUAUUGCGAGUAUAAAUAUUACUCUUAAUUUCUUUUCCCAUCAAUCCAAAGCACCAAAAAAGAGCCAAGAGUAAUUAGUAAUUUUUUUUUUUUAAGACGUUUGUAUGGGAUUUAGCAUUUUAGAAUUUAUGUAAAUCUUUUAUAAUAAUAUAGUUUCUAGGAUUCAGAUUUUAGUACUCUACAUGAAGUAAAGGCCAAAUUGAGUACAUCAAUGAAGUUUUUUUUUCUAAAAAAAGAAAGAAAGAAAAAAAAGCACAUGCAGUGUACAGUAAAGUACAAUCCUAUAACAGUUUUUCUCCGUAUGAGCCCGCGUGGUUCAACCUAAGAUCGUGAACUAAUUUUUCGUGGAAAAAAAAUUUUGGGUGAAAGUUUUUUUUUUAUAUUUUAAGUAUCUGAUUUGUAGAAAAAAAUAAUUUUUUAUUAAUAUUUAUUCGAUUAAAAAAAAAUAUUUACAUUUAUUUGGUUCGGUGAGAAAGAAUAAAGAAAAAAAAUUUACGCAGCUUGAGUUUUACUUUUUCGUCGAAAAACAGCAAAAAAAAUAAAAAAUUAAUUUUUUUUUCAAACCCGUAUAAAAAUUUUUAUAAAAUAAUAUUUUUAUAAAAAUUUUUAUAAAAUAAUAUUUUAUUUUAUAAAAUAAAAUAUUUUAUAAAAUAAUAUUUUUAUAUAUCAAAUCAAACAAACAAAAAAAUAUUUUUUUAUAUGAAAAAUAAUUUUUCGAUUGGUUUUACGCCGGAAUCAAAUGCUCCUUAGCAUUUCACCAGACACAAUUAGAUUGUAUCAAGUACUGAUAUUUAAAAACUACUGCUUUUACGGAUUAUUGAUGAUUUAGCGGAUUAAUUUAUUUUAAUUUUUAAACUUUUAAAUAUGGAAUUCAACAAAUUUAAGUAAAGUUUAGGGACUAGUAGACAAGUAGUGCAAUUUCCCCCCAAAAAAUGUUUAGAUCCGAAAUUUUUGCCAAUGUUGAGAUGCGUGUGAUCAACAGUGAAAAUAGAUCGGACAUUAUCCAAAAUUAUUCGUAUAUAUCUGUACCAAUUAUUAUCCGGAUCUGGAUAGAAAAUAUUCGGAUUCGGCCGGAUACGGAUAUGAUUUUUUUUGAGAAAUACGGAUAUGAUUUUAGAGGGGCAAAAAUUCUCGGAUAUCCGACAAAACUGAUACGGAUAUGAUUUCAGAUGGGCAAAAAUUCUCGGAUAUCCGACAAAACUGAAUCCAGAUUUAGAUAUCUGGACUUUUAGUAAUACUAAUAUGCUAAUAUAUUAAUAUUAGUAUUAUUUUUACAUUAAUAUCAUUACCCAAUUCUGAGUCGUUCUCUCGUGCCCGAACCGAAUUCCUCCUUGUCCAAUCUGUAAAAUCGAAGGGCACGCUAAUCCGUUUUAGCGGAUAUGGUAAUAAAAAUUUAACAUCCGACGCAUAGCCAUAUCCAAAAAAAUAUAUGAAUGCAGAUAUGAUUUUGUCGAACAUCCGACUAUAUCCGAUCCGUUUUCACCACCAGUGAUCAUGAUAUUUAAACUCCCUACAAAACAAAUAAAAAAAAGGCACCAAAUAAUCGGAUAUCAAUUAAUCCUCACAAAAUAAGUAAUCUAAGAAUUUUUUUUUAUAUUUUUUGAGUGAUAUAAUUUAGAAAAAUACUGCCGGUAAAAAAUGCCUGUUGUACUCCAAAAUUAAAAAGAUAGAGUCAGAAUUUAUAUUUUAUUUAAUUUUAUUUUUAAUAUUUUUUUAAGAAAUUAUAGUAGAAUAUUUUUUGAAAAUUAAUAAUUUUGGUCAAUCAAGAAUAUGUUACAUAUUUUAAAAUUUUAGAGAGUAUAUUAGAUAUUACUCUUUUAAUUUUAUAUAAUAUUAAAUAGAGUAGCAGAACAUAAUUGAAUAUGACGUAACGAUAAUUUCAUACUGUUCCGUAUAAAGAGGGAUGGCCCUUCAAAUUUAUUUCUAUAAAAAUUCAAUUAUCAGAUUUGUUCAUCUAAAAAAGAAAAUUCCACCAUACGUAAAAAUGCUUCUCUAAUUUGUUGUGUGAAAUGACAAUUUUGUUAUUACAAAUUUAUCGAUGCAAAAAAUCAUUUCUUGUCCUCUGUCAUCUUCAUGCUCGAUCGAGCUCUUCUUCUUUUCUCUUCAAAAAUUCAUGAAUUCACGCCUCUUCUCCUUCUCCUCAAUCUUCUCCAUCCUUCGAAGAGUACCAGACCUGGACCGCUCGACGCAUCUAAUGAUCACCUUCCCCGCUGAUCUGCGGCGCACAUCGGCAAAAAAAGGGAAAAGAGAAAGAUGAGGGGGCUCAACUUUGUAAUAAAAAUUAAAUUUAUAAGGGUAUAAAUUUGUUUCACUUCUAUACUAAUUAUGGUUAAAAUACUUGUAAAAGUAUCAUGGGGAUGAUACUUUGUGUGUUUUUAGCCCUUGGAUGGAGAGAUGUGAGGUUGAGAUGAUGGUGGUAGGUGGUGGUAGGUGGUGGUAGGUGGAAUAGUGUUUAAUCCAAGGGCUAUUAAUAAUGAAAAAGUAGAUCCAAUGGCUUAAAACCUAAUAGCACAGCUCAACUCUAUAUAUAUAUAUAUAUAUAUAUAUAUAUGGCUACUAUACUGUUAAGAGCACAGUAGCCCUUGUGUUCUUAAUCUUAGCCCUUAUGUUCUUAACUUUCUAAUCAUCCAUCAAUUUUGAUGAAUGAUUAGGGUGAGAAAAAGAAAAAAAAAUUGGAGGCUCAAUUUCUCUUUUUCUUGAAUUUCUCACCAAUUUUUCUUCUCUCUAUCAUCCUAACCAUCUAUUAAAAUUAAUGAAUGGUUAGGAGUUUAGGAGCACAAGAGUUGCUGUGCUCUUAAUAGCACGGUAGCCCUACUCUCUCUCUCUCUCUCUAUAUAUAAAGUCCGGCUGAGAUAUUAUCGAUAGUAUAAAGUAUUUGGUACUAUCAAGUUUUCUACCGUUAGAUUUAUCUCUUUUAUCAUUUCAUCCGUUCGAUUAUACUAUUCAACCAACCACCCAUUCAACCCUCGGGGGCUCACAUCAUCCUAACCACACAUCGUUUAAUCCAAGGGUAGAAAACUUAAUAGCACCAAGUCAUGAAUGCUAUUAAUAGUAUUCCAGCCUAGUUUUAUAGAUAUGAGUGUAGUUACUAUACUCUUAUGAGUAUAAUAAUCUUGGUACUCAUAAGCUUAAUUUGCGAAUUAUUGAAAAUCCAAAUAAAAUGGUCAAUAUACGAUUUAUUUUCAAAAAAUUAAAAUAAUAUGCGAAUUUUUUGGGUUAAAUUUAUUAUUCGCGAAUAAUUUGUGUAUGCCGAACUAUUCGGCCAAAAAAACGCCCAAAUUUUUUGGAUAAAAUUUCUUUUUGAAUUAUUGUCGAAGUAUUGCCGAAUUAUUCACGAAUUUUUGAAAAACUUAAUGAACUUCCAAAAUAUGUGGAUCAUAAAAAAAUGUAGAUAGAGACGACAAUAAAAUUUGCUAUCACUUUUUUUUUACUUAAUCUAUUUUAUUUUGUAGCUCUCUUUUUUUAUAUUUUUAAGAAUUUAUAACUAUAUACGCUAGUAGUAUAAAUCUAGAGAAAAAAAAGCUUAAUUUAAUAGCCGAAUUUUUUAUCCCAAAUUAUUAAUUGGGGGACGUAUAAUAUUCGUACAAUCGCGUAUCCGAAUAAUUAGCAAAUCUAUUUUUUAAGCCGCAUUUUUCAACAAAUUUAAAAAUCGAGAUACGAAUGUUAUUCGAAUUACAUCCGUAUCGAAUUUUUGCCGAAUCUGAAUUACCUAACUAUGUUCCUAAGUUUAUGACGGUUGGAUCCACAUCAGGAUGUAGAUCAAUUGAUGUGAUGAGAUAGAUCAAAAAAUGAUAACAGAAGACCCUCUGAGAUUGGACCUCCCCUCUCUCUGAGGAGGAAUUCUACACUGUCACACUUUGCACCACGGCAUCAAUAAAAAGCCAAUCAUAUUUCUUCUUUCAAACAAAAGUACAAUAAAAAUAUUUUUUUAUAAUCAUGAUGGAACAUAUACUUAUAAAAGGAGAUAUUUGAUUGGUUUGUAAUGCCACGUCAUUAAUAUACCCGUUGCAUUCUAGAAUUUUUCGUCUCCGAGCGAGGGCGGGUCCUCCUCGUCCUUGUUGCCGACCCACCCCAAAAACUUGGUGGUCCUCGUCCCACACCGAAAACGCCAUCUUCCUCCCACCACAUCGCCCCGGGCCCACACACACACACCCCCUCCGACCCCUCUCGCCCCUGAUCGACCUGGUGCGCACCUAAAGAAAGAGGAUCGAAGAUCAAAAAUUUCCGAGCAUGAGAAUAGCCCCCCGCAUCUAAUCAAGAAUUGAUUUCGGGUGGGUUGGAAAGAAGGACAAGGAGGACAGAUAGGCCUCGGGUUGCGUAAGGAGCGGGCCGGGACUCUUUUUUUUGGUCGAUUUCAUCAUAUCAAUAUCCACAUCUUGAUGCAGAUCCAACCGCUAUAAAUUUAUGAGUACGAAAACUAUUAUUAUGCUCAUAAGAAUAAAUAAAUAAAUAAAUAAAUAAAUAUAUAAAUAUAUAUAUAUAUAUAUAUAUAUAUAUAUAUAUAAUUUUUNNNNNNNNNNNNNNNNNGUUACUACGCCGAAGGUUUAGCUGCUAACCGAGGCAAUCUGAACUAGAUGUGAUAACUUUCAUAAACCUUUGAUUUAAAGUCUAAAAAAGUUGUAGUAAACUGAUCACUAGUUUUCUAGAGUUUUAACUGUUAAAAUUAUUGGCUACACCACACAAUUGCCACAUUUUAUUAGGUUUACGCUACUUUUAAAAUAUCUUUUAAGAAAAGUGAUAAAUCUCAUUCUAGUCAUAUAGAUUAGAACUUAAAUUUAGAAAAUAGUAGUCAAAAAUAUUCUAAAAAUAAAAGUCGGCAAAUUAAAAUCUGAUGAAUCAAAAUGAUAUAUCUAACAGUAAAAAACUUGAUAGUAUCAAGUGUUUGAUGCUAUCAAUAGCAUUGUAGCCGGACUCUCUCUCUAUAUAUAUAGUCCGGCUACUAUACUAUCGAUAGUAGCUAACUCUUGGUGCUAUUAAAAUUUUUACCAUUAAAUCUACUCUUUGAUUAUUUUCAUCCAUUAAAUUAAUUAUAUAUAACUAACGUGGUGGUGUGACUGCGACUUUCUUCUAAAGUGGGUGGAAGCGUGAAGGAAGGAGAUGACGCGCGGCGGACGCAGAAGCGGAAGCGGGCGGGACACUUUCUUUUUUUUUUUUUCUUUUUUUUCUCCCACGAGAUUUCGCUGUCGUUGCUUUUCGGAGCGGAUUCCAACAAUUCCAGUCCGGACUCCGGAGCCGUCUCUUUCCCCCCUCCCCCGACUUUCGCGGCCUCAUGAUUCGAAUCUAAUCUUCUCCUCCUAAUUAAUUAAUUAAUUAAUUAAUAAAUAAUCGGAAGAGUCUCCCCACGCGCACCCGACACAGCACGGGGGUGGGCACCGCCGCUGCGGAAAAAAAACAAAAGAAAAAGAAAAACUUCAAAAACCUGCUGUGGCUUCGUAAUUUCUUAUUUUUCUCUCCUGUAUUUUAAAAUAUAUCAGUUUGUCUUCCUAUGAUUUUAUUUUUCUCUUUUUUUUACCAAUUUUAUUAUUUUUUUCUUAAAUCAGUGAUAAAGUUAAAAUUAAAGGAUACUAAAAUAAAUAUUUGAUAAAUCUAGAUAGGUAUCUGAAGUUUUUUGUAUAUAAUUUAAUAAAAUAUUAACAAAAAAGCUACCCAAAAGAUAAAAACAAAAUCACAGGGGGGCAAAAUAAGAAACUUCGAAACUACGGGAGGGUUUUUGAAGUUUUUCUGAAAAAAAAAAAAGUAAAAAAAAGAGAGAAAAACGUAUCCGCACGUGCGAAUCUCUCGUUGCGUCGAACAUCCCGUGUUUGAAAUUCAAACAGUGGAAAAGACAAAAAGAAAAAAAAGAACAUAAUCACGAUUCUCGCGCCUCAAGUGACAGUCAGUCUUCCACAAGGGAAGCCGACGUCAAGUUGAUCUGCAACUUGGAUUGAAGGAAAAACCAACCACAUAAUUUUUUGUAAUUUUAUUGUCUAAGUUACCAACAAAUUUUUAAAAAAAAUUAGAGUGGCGUUAUGCUCCGUAUAUUUUUUAAAUUAUUUUUUGGCUUAUUUUUCUCUAUCUUUUUUUUUUAUUUCCAAUAUUUCAGAAACGUAUCUUACCAUUUUUGUAACUAAAUUUAUUUUUUUCUAAUAAAUAAGACGAAUAAUGUGCCAUAUUUUUUUUAAAAAAAGAUAUUAGGUAUAAGUUGUAUGCACAGAUUAUUCCGACGCUUAUUAGAUUCUCAAAAUUUUAGAAUUAUUUUUGACGAACUGCUAAUAAGCGGGAGCAUUGCUCUGUAGGCACGAAAGUUGGAAAAAAAAAAAAAAAGUGGUGAUAGAAUGCCGAAUAUUCCUUGUAUCAAUAGUCCUCAGAACUUUUACCUAGUUUUUUUUUAUUUUUAAACUUUUAAUUUUGAAGUUAGAACCCCUGAAUUCUUAAAAGAGUUUAAUUUUAGUUCCUAUGCAUAUUUACUAUUUAAGGAUAAACUAUUGCCUACAUUUGCCUAUUCAUGUAUUAUAUGUGUAUUGAUUUUUCUCGCAUUACAUAAUUCACUCUUACUAUGCCUGAAUUUUUAAAAAACAUAUAUUUUCUCAAUUUAGAAGUUAGACCAUUAGAUUAGAGAUAUCAAUUGAAUAAAGGAUAGGCGGAAUUUAGGAUGAACAAACAUAAGAUGAAUUAGGUACAAGCGAUAAUUUGUACUCCAAAGUAAAAGAAUUAUAAUAAAACAUUGUUGAAAAGUUUAGGUAUUAAAAUUAAGCUUUAUUUAAAGUUUAGGGACUUGAACAUCUACAUGAGAAAGUUUGAGCAUCAAAACGAAAUUACACUUGAAGUUUAGGGACCAGGGACCUGCAGUGAAAUUUUAUGCACUUAUUUUAAGAAUGUUGGAUGUGCUUGGAAACACUCAACAGCCUUCAGCAAUAUUUUUUGAAGGAUCAGCAGCAUUUCUCUGGCUUAUUUGCUUCAUUUAUAUUAAAUUAUAUUAUAGAAUCGAAAUGAGAUUCAUUGAUUUCGAUAGUUGUUGUUUGUUUUAUAGAAAUCAAUUUUUCGAUACUCAUUCCACUCUGGAAUGGAACCCAGUUCAGUUUUGAAUUCGUGAUUCCCCCCUCCUUUCAUCACUCUUCUCCUUGUUACUAGAACUCUCUCGCAAAAUCCUAAACAUUCAUUCCAAUUUCUAUUUUGAUAAUAAAUGGAAUAUUUCUUGAUAAUUCAUCAUUUUAUUUUUCUCAUUCCCAUAAAAUCCAAUUUUAUUUUCUAUUUCUAUUCCAAUUAGGAACCAAACACGCCCCAUAAAUAUAUUAUGCGAUAAUGGUAUGGACCAUGUUAUGCCCACUUGCGAGUAGGGGUGGAAACGAGCCAAGCUCGAGCGAGCUUACCUUGGCUCAAAUUCGGCUUGAAAUUAAUUUCAAGCCUAAAUUUAAGCUCAAACUUGGAUUGAAAUUAAUUCGAGCCGAGCUCGAGAGAGCCUAAUUGCAAGUCGAGCGAGCUCGAGCCCUAAACGAGCCGCUUGAAAUUCUCAACAUUUUACGAUCAAUAGUUUAAUUUGUAUAGAACAUUAUCUAUAAUUUGAUACAAAAAUAUGUCUAAUAAUUCAAAGUACAAAAUAAUUAUAUGAAAUAUAGUAUUAUUAUAUGAAAAAAAAUAAUUUAUGAGUUGAAUAUCUAAUUAUAUUAUAUAAAAUUAAUAUAUAUCCGACUCACUUAUUAGACUCAAAUCAAUUUUAACCGGGUUACAACAACCGGGUAUUUUUGUUUAGGUUAUCUGUUUAUUUUCUCGUUUUAAAAUGAUUUAAAUAUAUUAAAAGGAAAAAAAGAAAAAAAAUGUCUCGAGAUUUAAAAGUUAUACAAAGAGAGAGAGAAAAAGAUAGAGAGUGGGAUUCACCGGUUCGGCCUUCGGGAGAUUCAAUGGUUCAUUGUAGUAUAUGGGCGGCAACGGAUAGAAAUUAACAUACAAACUCUUUUAUAUGUCUUAUAAAAAUUUCAUUUUUUAAUAAUAAGUAUAUUUUAAAAUUAAAAUCAAUAUAUACUAGCCUAUCAAAUUAGGUUAUAAAUAGAUAUAUUAAAUAAAUAAAAACUGACGCAUUUACUUUUACUUAUUAUAUCUCUAACUUCCGCCUUCUUUUCUGUACACUCUGACUUUUUNAAAAAGAAAGGGUAAAAUGUAUGGAUGGUCCUCCUACUAUAAACGUAUGGCAACUAGGUCCAUGCAGUUUCAAUUUAAAUAUUUAAUUUAUGAAUUUUCACAUACAUUACACCUUUAGUCCUAACUGAAAAAUAAAAAAAAAAUUUAUGGUGAAAUAAUAUUUAAUCAAACUUACUAAAAUGUUCACACAAAAAAUAUAAGGAUAAAAUCAUAAUAUAAAGAUAGUCCAUUCAUAUUACCCUAAAAAUAUUAAAAGCUAAAUAAAGUUUCUGUUAAAAAAAAUUAAAAGGUUAAUAAAAACUUCGAGUAUUUAUUUAAAAAUGGUCUAUAGUUGCAUAGCUUUAGUGUGUAUAUAUAUAUAUAUAUAUAGAGUAGGGCUACUGUGUUAUUAGGAGCACAGCAGCCCUUGUGCUCCUAUGUUAUUAACCGCCCAUCAAAUUUGAUGAGUGGUUAGGAAGAAUGGGAGAAGAAAAAUUGGAGAGAAAUUCAAAGAGAAGAGAAAUUGAGAAUCCCAAUUUCUCUCCAAUUACUCUUCUCCCUUUCACUCUAACUACCCAUCAAAUUUGAUAGGUGGUUAAGAAUUUAGGAGCACAAGGACUACUGUGCUUUUAUAUAUAUAUAUAUAUAUAUAUAUAUAUAUAUAUAUAUNCCCGUACUUUCGAAAGUACGGGAGGCCCCGUGCUUGUAAGUUGUUUUCGAUGAUAGGACGUUCGAUUCGACGAUCGGCUCUGUUAGGUAUGAUCUACUAUAUUGGAACUAUCUAGAAACCAACUUUUAGAUUUUUUUGACAUCAUUUACUAAGCGAUCAAAAGGUCUAAAAAAUGACUAUUUUAACGGUCGAUGUGGCACAUUUUUAAGUUCAACGGUGUAGAAGCAUUCAAAUUAGAUGAAAAUUUAAUAGAAAAUUUUACUUAACAUCAAUAGCAAGGCCAAUACUUCCGAUUUGAAAUUUGAGUCCUUUAUCAUUGUUUUUUAUGAGAUUUUCAUUUUCAGCCGUUCAUUUUGAGGCUACUCGUUUACUACACAAACGAAGUCAAAAAAUUAUGAAAUUUGGUUUCUAGGUAGUUCUAAUAGAGUAGAUCAUGUCUAACGGAACCGAUCGCCGAAUCGGAUGUCCCAUUAUUGAAAACAACUUACAAGUACGGAGGCUUCCGUACUUUCGAAAGCAUAGGAGCCUAGCUCUCUCUCUUUCUCUCUCUCUCUCUCUCUCUCUCUCUCUCUCUCUCUCGCUCUCGCUCUAAAUAUAUAUAUAUAUAUAGUGUAGAACUACUAUGCUAUCGAAAAUAUAGAGGAUUUGAUGUUUUUGAAUUUUUGACCCUUUGAUUAAAAAUUGUAUGGUUGGGAUGAUUGCGGUCUCCCCUAGGAUUAAAUAAUACUUUUAGAAUUGAGUGGUCCCUACAAGGUAAUAAUAAUAUUAAUCCAAAGAUAAGAAACGAUUAAAAGGAUUGAUCUAAGAAUCAAAAAAUUGAAAGUAUCAGAUCUCUAUACUUUCGAUAGCAUAGUAGCUCUACUAUAUAUAUAUUUAUUCGAGUUUUUCGAGUUUUUCGAGCCUAAUUCGAACGAGCCGAGUAAUACUCAAGCUCGGCUUGAAAUGAAUUUUGAGCCUUUUUUUGUUCAAGCUCGGCUCAUUUAAUUUCGAGUCGAGUUCGAGUGAGCCAAAUAUCGAGUCAAACGUGAGUCGAACGCGAGCCGGCUUGCUCAUUUGCCAGCCCUACUUGCGAGCCGUGUAGUUGUCGGCCAUGGCGCCAUACGCUGUCAUCAGGCGCUGUACUGGGCCAAAAAUGGCUCGGUCGAACAUGGCCUACUUGACCGGGCCAUCCUCGCACGGCACGGAUUGCGACAGUAUCCUUGCCGAGUCAGGCCGGAUGGCCCACGAAUAGGGCUGAGCAUUAUUCUGUUUAAACUGAAUUACAAAACCAUAUUAGAUUAUAUUUUCCAAAUUAGGGAUUUUAAUAUAAAAUUAAUCACACCUAUAUCCUAUUUUUAGUAGGUUGAGAAGCCUAAACUCAACAAAACUAUUAGGGUGCGUUUGGUUCGAGUUAUCCUGCCAGGAUUAUAGGCAAUCCUGUCAGAAUAACUGUGUUUGAUUAAUCCGCUAUGUAAUCUAGUCAUUAAUGUAGCAUUACAAAUCGAGCAGGAUUACAUCGAAAAUAUUAAUAGGAGGGGGUCGUGUAUCUUGCAUUACUAAAAUCCGUUAAUGCUACAUAUUAUGUAAAAUGAUUAUUUUACCCUCCAACAACCCUAAUCUAAUUAACAGUAUUAUUUUCAUCUCUCUCGCCUUCCCCCCUCUCUCUCGCACGCCGCUUUCUCUUGCUCUCUCUCUCUCUCUCUCGACGUCUCUCUCUCUCUCUCUCUCUCUCUCUCUCUCGCACAAACACGUAUCAUCUUCUAUUGUGUCGUCCUCUCAGGUAAUCAUCACGAUCUCCUUCCCUCCAUUCGUCAUUUUUGCAAAAAAUAAUAUUCAAAUGACCACAACAAGGACAAUUUUGAAAAAAAACUAUACUUUUAUGUCAGGAUUACUAAAUUCUAUAGACUGAACCAAACGUAUUAAUGCUAUAAACACUGUAAUCUAGUAUUACAUUACUGCAUUAAACCAAAUACGCUAAUGUAGCAUCAUUAGUAAUCUCACGCCGAAAUCCAAGAUACCUGGAUAUGUCGAGAUACUUUAUAAUAUUACAUAACUCGAACCAAACGGGCUCUUAAGAGCAUGUUUGACUUAUGAUUGGGAUCUGAAUGAGAAAUGAAAUUAAAUUGCAUUGGAACGAAAAAUGAAAUGGCAAAUCAUUCAAAAAUAUUUGAAAUCAGACUAGACAUUUAGAACUUUGUGAGAGGAUUUUGGUUAAGAAAGAGAAGCGCGAGGAAGAGAGAGAGAGAGGAUGGGAAGGUGUUGUUGCAAGAGUACUCUGAAUGAUUUAUUUUGGAAUAGGCUAAUUUAAGAUUCGAAGCCGGAUUGGACCAUAAAAAGAUCGGGUCAUUUUCAUUUCAGAGUGAAAUGAGAAUUAAAAUUCGAUUUCCCGUAAAACAAACAAUAAUUAUCAAAAUCAAUAAAUCUUGUUCUGAUUUCACAGUCAAAAAUAGCUGAAGCAAACCAGCCCUAAUAUUAAAACCAAAUAACCAAAUCGAACGAUCCGAAGUACUUCAGUUCAAUUUGUAUAAUUCAGUUCGAUUUAGUUUUUUAGGAAAAGAUAAAUUACUGAACCGAACCAACCGAUGCGAACCCCUACCGAGAAACCAACCAAAACCCAUACAUUACACCCUUCUAUGUGCUAAGUUUCUCAACAUCUCGAAUAAAAUUAGAACUGUGAUUAUAAUCAUCAAAACUUAUUAGGCAUCUAUGACAGCUUAGGAUAUUAAUUAGCAUAGUGGCACCACAUCAGCAACUUACACCAACUAUAACAAUGAAUUGGAAAUUGAAGCAGUUUCUACAGGAAAAACAGUUAGUAGGAGUACUAAAAGAAUAGCUGAAGCUAACUAUCUACCCAGUAACAGAGGUUUCUGCAAACUCCAUUAAAAAAAUAACAUUUUAAAAGAGAUAUAAGCUGCUGCUUAAUAAUCUGCCGAGUUUAAUCCAUGGUGCAAUCUCCAUAGAAAAAAACAAAACAAAAAAAAAAAAAAAACAGAAGAAAAUUAAGUUCUGCAAAUGCCCCAGCAAACGCAUGCAUAUCGUGACAUACCUGCGAAAUGAACAAUAGAAUAUUCUCUAUGUACAAGACGAAAAGAGAGGGUACAAAUGUUUUAAAAAUGUAACAACUUUGAAAGGAGAAAACAUGAAAAGAAAAAGCAAUUCAUGCUUUCAAACGUCGUAAUCAAUAUCGGUGCUGUUCUGCGACAUUGAUCUUUUAACUAGCCGUCCAUGCUCGUCAUAUAGGUCCAAAUUUUCGCAUGGCGUGGGGAAAACGUAGCCAAUGACGCGGCCUUCAACAAAGGAGCACUGGAAGAUGUGCUUCUUCUUGUAUGUGAUCCCAAUCGAUAUAUCCUGGAAAGUAAUGUCCUUUAUAGGUAUCUCCUCGCUACCGUGAAUCCGAACCGGCACUCGUACGCCGUACCCGUGGACUUGGACAUAGGAUAUGUUCUUAAGGACAGGGACUGCUUUUGGAUCGAAGCCCUCAUCGGGGUGCUCAUUGUAGUCGGUCUUUAUAACUAUCCCAACACGGACAUUGUCGAAAGUUAAAUUGCGGUAGGAGAUGUCACGGACAUAGCCCCCUCUUCCAGGGGCUGUCUUUAUCCGUACAGCACGCCUUGAUUCCCAGACGUGAAGGUUUUCUAUCGAAACGUUCGAAACUCCACCCGACAUCUCACUGCCAAUCGAUACUCCUGCACUGUGCAGCAACCGACAUGAUUUAAUAACAACAUUACCAUCAGAGGAAUAUCAUCAGAUAUUAGCAUUUGUUCUGCAGAUCUUUUAGAAACUCUACAGUACAGAAUGAAUGUAUAUGACGAGGAAUGAUUGGAGGUUUUAAAUAUUGUGCUUUUUGUGCUAACCAGAUAUUUCCCUUCGAUGAGACUACUAACUUGCAGGUUUUAAGAACAGUGUGUGUGAUAUCUGCAACCAAAUAUUUUCCUUCAAGAAACUUUUCAGACGAUCUCAACAGAAUUCCUAGCUGUUCAUCUUUCCAUAUAAAUCCUUCUUUCCAAAAAUAAGGUACUGAGCAUUUUCUGGUGGAAUCUACAAAUGCCUUUCGUUAACAGUUUUAAGUUGUGUCUUUUCCAUCCUUCCAACACCACUAGACACUCUACGCCCAAUACUAUACUGUUGUGAAAUUCAAGUACACAGUGUACUAAAGUAAAAAUUGCUAUGAAAGAUUCUUAGAUUCCAUCCAAAGAUGCAUAGCAACAAUUUUUUAUAAAGAAAAUUAUAAGCUAAAGGAUUAUAAAUAGACAAAGUUUAAAAGCAUUCUGACUAAAAAAGUAAAGGACAUAAAUUUCUUUUAGAAAUUUAUGGACAGCCUAGGGAUAAUCGGACUAUGGCAAUCCUAAUAUUGUGUUCUGAAUCACUUAGUCAAACGUUUUCACAGAUAUAGUCAAACAAUAUUCAGCCCUUCUCGCAAAGGCAUGUGGCAGGCUAGAACCAAUGUUCAGAGUGGCUCCAGAUCUCCUAUUUCAACAUGGAAUGGUAGUACCCUAGUAAUUAUAUAGGUUCUGCUGUUCUCAAUUGCAGCACAUGACUGUCUAAUUUAGGAAAGUAAUUAUGAAAUUAAAUUGUUAGGUAGAUGAAUAACACACUUGAAUAAAAUAUCUCACCUCACAACGGAGCGAACUGUGACAUUACGGAUCAAAAUAUUAGCAGACGGACGCCCAUAUGCAAUUCCAUACUGAUCCCAACCACUCUUUAUUGCUAUUCCGUCAUCACCGACACAUAUGUAACAAUUCUCUAUCACCAUAUCUUCACAAGAAUCUGCAUGCACAACCUGAAGGGCUCAGAAAUAAAAAGGGAAAGAUGAAAGGAAAUGCGCUGUCUUUAAGUUCUGUUUUCAUGUGUGUAGCUUUAUAGUGAGAUUAGAAAGAAUAAAUGGAGCACAGUAAAUAUGAAAUAAGAAAAAGUCAUUUCCAGAUUGAGUUUUUAUAGAGAUGACAAAAAAAGUACAAUUAAUUUCCUAGAAACUAAUGCAGCUGGACCAUUACCUAUUGCAGGAAGUAAAAUGACUCAAAACAGCUAAAAGCUGUAAGAUUACCUGGAUCUAUUCCAUCUGUGUUUGGAGCCCCAGAAACUGGAGCCAAGAUGGUAACAUUCGAGACAGUUACAUUCUUGCAGUCAUAGGGAUGAAGCGUCCAGAAUGGAGAAUCUCGCAGAGUUAUAUUUGAAAUGAUGAUGUCCCUUGACCACAUCAACUGUACAAGAGGCCCCCUUGUAUAAUUGAGAAUCCUUCUUUUAUAUUUUGUCCACCAACUUUGGCCCUGUCCAUUUAUGGUACCAUUGUGUCCUGUUGGGCAAAGAGGAAAGAAAAGCACCCGAGCAAUCAAACACUACAAUUUUUCUUAUCAAUAACAAGGGCAAUCUACUAUAUCAAACCAUGGCAAAUUGGCAACUGGAAAGCAAUUAGACCGGCAGUAUGAACCAACUAUGUGCAAGGAAAUACUUAACAACAUACUCUACAGGCCAUAGAUUGAUAAAGCAAGUACAACAGAAAAGCAAGCCAUGUAUCUCAGCUCUUUCAGAAAAACCAAUCAUAGUACAGCAGAUUGAUAUGGAUAAAUUGUUCCAAAAUUUAUGAAAACAUUGAGGAUACAUUUAAAGUCUGUUCAUUUAAUAGCUGGAAGCUUACUCUAUUUAACUCGAAAAUGCCCAUGGACCUCUUAUUCACCAUCAUAAAUAUAUAAAACAAGGGGAAAAUGUCUAGGAAAUCCAAGAAAAGCUGGAUUGUUGAUUGGCUCUUGAUGCCUCGCCUUCUCCAGGUGGGGGAAACAUAGGAAAAUUAAAGCUUGAUUUGCUUAUUAAAAAGGUAUUCUCUAGCAAGAACAAAAAGAGUGUUUUGGAUAAGACCUUCAUUGUCUUUCUUCUUUCUGUAUCCUUUUCUUUGCAUCCUGUCAUAUAAUUAAGUUGUUUAUUAAUGUAUAAAAAUCUCCAACCAUGACAUACACCUCUUCUUUGGGCAUUUAUUAUCCAGUUCAGUUUCUUAAUGAAAUUCUACAACUGCGAAAGUUGAGAUAAGGACUUGAUGGAAUAGCAAAAUAUAAAUUAGCAACUAACCUGUUAUAACCACGUCCUUCAAAUUUUGGCCAUGAAUAAGGCUCCCAUACCGAGGUCCCUUAUGCUCCCUUCCAUACCCAUAGGAUGGCAAUGGAGGCAUUAAUGGCCAAUAAUUCUCAUCCUGAAAUGGAUCACGUAAUAGAAUUUAUUAAUAAGGCAUAAUUAUCCAUUCACCUGGGAAAUGGACAAAAAUUGAGUAGCACAGAUUUGAUGGAGAAACUAUUGCAUUUUAGAUCUUGCAAAAUUCAUACUUCAAAGUAGACUUUACUCAUUAUAGUGAAUACUGAGUAGCCAAAGUCUGAAAAUUCACAAAUCACACCAGUAAUGAAUGUUCACACUUCAACAAACAAGUGACAUUUUGUGAUUUUAGACAACUUAAACAUGUUCCAAGAAAAGAGUAAAAGGCACUAUCUAUACAGACAUUAAGUAAUUAUGUUAACUUACGUUUUUUUUUUAAUUUUUUUAAAAGUAUAAUAUAAGAUUCCAAAUAAGGAUAAAAGACCACAACAUUCAUCCUAAUAACAACCUCCAUAUUUGGAUCCCAACGUAGAUUAUACUAUCUCCAAACAAAGUUAAACUCACACACAAGCCAAUCUGAUGACUAAUAUCUGACCUUUUUACCAUGUGCUAAAACAGCAUUUCUUCUGAGAAAACUGUGGAAUAACAAAAGUCCUGCAUUAUACAUUCGUCUCUAAGAGCCGCUCAGUGCAGAAGGAUCUGGCCACUGUUGGGUCUUGCAAAAGAUCAAAUGAGCUCAAGCUUACUCCAUGAGUCAAAACUCACGCCAAGUAUGAUCCAUACUUGAGGAGUUAACCAUAGAAUGUCCAAAGACCUGACCUCUCCCAUGCAUAAUCCCAUAUGUAAGAAACAAGCAUCCACACUAGAAUUGCUAAUUUACAUGCAUCGAAACAGUGCCAGAUCCCACACUAGAUUUUCUCAUUUACAUGGAUCCACACAGUGCUGCGAAAGUUUGGUUUUCUGGAUUACUAGAUCUGAAAUCUUUUGCAGUCUUUCAAGACCUCUUUGGCUUCCCACAGUCAGUAGCUGUAGUAUCAUUUCAAACUAGAGAAUUUCAAUAGCAUCAUUGUAAGCUACUAGUACCCAUCAGUGUAAGAUUAAGAAGAAGAUUAGCAAGAGAUGCAAUUCAUAUCAGUUGCGUGACCGUGAGAAUUCUUUAAGCUCUCAUAGGCAGAGAAAUCAACAAAAACUUGUUACAAUCCAAGAUACACAAUGGAAUCCUAUAAGGCUGCCCUACAACAAGAACCAUCUGAUCCACAAAAUGAAAAUACUCGAUACAUAUAUCUCAGUUAAUUAUAUGAAGUGCAUUAUCUCUUUCUCUUCGCCAAAUCCAAAUUUGGCAUUGUCCAAUGCAGCAAAGUCAAAAUUUGGCAUAUAUACUGGCAAUUUCCAAAGUCAAAUUAUGAUAAGAACAAAGCAGAGACAUCAAAAACCGUGCUUUAUCUUCUGUAACAGUUAAACCCCGAAAAUCCCCAAACGAUCAUAUAAAGGUGAAUUUGGAAAGGGGAAUAGGCAAAGAGAAACGAAACCCUAAAUUCUCACCUGUAACCCAAGAAUCUCAGCCCCCUCCGCGAGGAAGAGGGUCAUGUGGCUCGUGAGAUUGAAGGGCGCCGUGAGCCAGAGCCCGGGAGGCACAUUGAGCUGCCCCCCGCCCUUCCUCGCGAGCCGCGCGAUCGCCGCCACCGCGCGCUCGAACGCCUCGGUGUUGAGCGUCUUCCCGUCGCCGACCCCCCCAAAAUCCGUGAGAUUGUACGCCACCGCCCUGAGCCUAGGGACCGUCCUCAUCGGCGGCGGCGUCGCCCACCCGAAGUACCCGAUCCCGCUCCCAAUGGAGCUGCUCUGCCACAAGAAAACCGCCAUGAACACGGCGACCCACAGCGAGGCGAAGAGGGUCUUGUACGAGGAGACGAGCCCCGGGAGCCACCGCCGAUGCUGCGCGAAGUGGAACCUCCCCGAGGAGGAUACUAUAUCCACCAUUAUUACCCUAGAUCUACGCUAAAGGAGAGGUAAGACGACGAUACCAAUUGUAAAACCCUAGAUUUCACGAGAAGAGGCCAGACUCGGAUCGAUCGGUAGAUCCGGAGGAGUAGAGCUCGGCUGCGAUGGUGAGAAGGGCAGAGGAAUGGGAAUUGGAGCGAGGGGUCUGGAUUCGCGUGGCUAGGGUUUCGGCCAUAGGGGUGGAGGUGGGUGGGGUUUUUAAAAAUGGGGCGGGACGUGGAGUGAGGUUGAAGGGAAGAGAGAGAGAGAGAGAGAGAGAGAGAGAGAGAGAGGUCGCUUCGGCCGCUGAAAGGAAAGGGGAAGAAGAUGAUGAUAAUUUACGAAAAUACCCUCAGUAUAACGAAUAAUUUUAACGGUGGAUCCUCUGCUAACUCUCCGCGCGGAUCUCUGAUCUGACGGCUGAGGAGCUCUACAACUUGGAUCUAGUGUGUCUAACUACAGUGAAGAUAAAAAUCGAACUAGGUUUGGAUAAAAUUUUUAUGAUCUAAUUUGAAAAUUUUGGAUUGUAGAUUUUUUCGUUUAAAGACUUUAUAUUUUGAAUCUGAGUAAACUUAAUGCUUUUUAAAUAAAAUUUAGAGUGCGAAUUUUGAUGCACGUCAGACCGCGGAAUAUGUUUGUUCGUAUGACUCGUGAGGAAAAAAAAAAAAAAAAUACCGUUUAGAAAAAGUAUACUAUAAUUUUUCGAAAUUAAGGUAAGGGUGUUAUUAGGAUCCAAACUGGUUGAUUCAAACCAAUUCAAUCGCAACCAAAUCCAUUUAUCAAGAUUCGUCAAAUAAAUAAGCCGAGUUUGGAUCAAGAAACAAAAAUCUUAUUGAUCAGUCAGAUAGUAUUCUAGCGAUAAGUUUUUUGUGACACUUUAUAUGAUGAUCCGAUUUUCUUCAUUUUUAUAGUCAGAAUCAUAAAGCCUUCGAUAGCACUGCAUAAAUAUAAUCUAAUCGGAUCAACGUAGUCUACAUGAUGUGAUAUUAUUUUCAAAAAAAAAAAACUUUUUUAUUUUUUUUUUACUGUACUUAAUGCUGAGUCAGCAAUUUCAACAGAAGUUAUUUAUGGUUUAGACCUUAUAACAUACACAAAUGAAUGGGAACACUCAUGAUGAUGAUAUUGUUAGUUGUGUUGUCUCCGUUGUUGUUGAGAUGGGAGUGGUAGUUACCCCAUCAUACAAAGUAGGUGAGGCAAAGCUUUCGUUGGGUGAACUAAAAAGGACAAGAAGAUGGUAUAACAUAGAAUCUCACUCAUAAAGCACAAACCUAAUUGUGAGGAGGGAGUGGAUGUGUUUUAAAAAAGCUUUAUAGAUGUUGUGGUGUAGAUGUUGGAUUUGAGUACAAGUAUAGUUUAACUUAAUAUGAUGGAACUAGACUCGAAUACUUUUAAUAGUAUUAAGUUAUUGGUGCUAUUAAGUUUUCGACUCUUAGAUGAAGAGAUGUACGAUUUGAAUGAUAGUGAUCCCUUAGAGUUGAGUGGAUCAUUGAUUGAACAGUUUAACCUAUUGGAUGAAAAUGGUCAAAGAGAUAGAUCUUGUUGGAAAUGUGAUUUUCUCUGAUACCAAUUAUUGGAACUGGUGUUUGUAAUCUAAAAUAGAACAAAAUAAUAUGAAGAAGAGAUAUUGGAGGAGGAAGAAGAUAACUAAACUAAUACUUUAUUAAUAAAAAGCAAUUAAUUACAUCCUGAGUAACAUCCAUGCAGUCAUAUCUACUGUGACUUAUUACGCUAACUAACUCAUGCCUAAUUAUAUAUAGUUCAUCAAAUUAUAACAAAUGAUAAAUCUAAUUUUACUUUAGAUAAUUAAAAAAUUUAAAACUUAUCUCUAAUUAUAUUUUAAUUAAGUUUGGAUUAUUAUUCCAACAUCCUCCCUUAAUCCAAACUUCAUCUUCAAACCGUGAACUCCAUGAAACGCGCACUUUGAUUUUGCAAUCUCUGUCGCUGUUGUUGUCGUCUUGUUAAAGUUGUACAGCAUGACGACUAUCCAAUGAUGUUUACCAAAUUCUUUUUUAUAAUUUUUAUUAUCCACUACAUCCCACAAAUCUUUGGAUUCUAAAAAAUAUCGAAUGAUGAUUUUCCAUCGUUUAAUCCAUCGAACUUUGGUAAGCCAAAUUGAAUAAACCAAUUAUCUAAAUCCAUAACAAAAACUUGAAAAAUCGAAAAAUAAGUUUCAGAUUUGUACUUUUUGGUUUGGAUGAUGUCCUUAAUUCAUCGAGAUCUCGCCAAAUUUUCUGUACUUCGGCUUGCUUGCCUAGCCUUCCUGGCUAUCUAGUCAAGUCUUCUUGGAUCUCUUCACAGGCUCUCCUCGCUCUCUUCUCGUCAAGCAUCACAACCACCUGCUAUCGUGUGUUGUGCGGAGGCCAAUUUCUUCAAAGGGAUUCCUUCGCUUUGAUUUCACCUGAACGCCACCUUCGUCAAUCUACUACGAGUCGCUUGAUUUUGACGUAGCUAUCCAGUACAUUGGAUCUAUAUUCUUUUCGAAUCUGCUAUCAUCUGGUUUAUAAGUCACAUGGUACUUUCCGGCUCUGAUACUACUUAUUGGGAGCGUGAUUUUCUCUGAUACCAAUUGUUGGAACUAGUAUUUGUGCUAAUACCGAUUAUACAACACAAGAUAACUAAAUUAAUACUUUAUUAAUAAAAAGCAAGUAAUUACAUCCUAGGUAACACCCAUGCAGCCAUAUCUACUGUGGCUUAUUCCUCUAAUUAACCUAUGCCUAACUAUAUAUAGCUCAUCAAAUUAUAACAGAUGAUAAAUCCAAUUUUAUUUUGGAUAAUUACAUAUCCUAAUCAUAAUCAAAUAAAAAAUUUAAACUUAUCUCUAAUUAUAUUUUAAUUAAGUUUGGAUUAUUAUUCCAACAGAUCUAACGGAGAAAAAUUUGGCAGCACCAAGUGUUUGGUGCUAUUGAUAGUAUAGUAAUUGAACUCCGUAUGAUGAAUUGGGCUUUAUUUUUUUUUUGAGAGAUAGGUAGUACGCUACCCGCUUCGUUUAUUUCAUUUAGAAAUAAACUUAGCUAGAAAUGUGAAUCAAAUAGGAUUCGAACUUGGGUCUCGGGUACCAACCACCAAGUCCUUUGCCACUUGUUCUAGGGACGGUCGGUUGAAUUGGGCUUUUAAGUGCAAAAAAGAGAUAGUGCACUAGUAGAUAUUAUUGAAUGUAGAAUAUUAAAUGUUAUUUGCAAACAAUUUAAGUUUUGAAAGUAAAGAGUUGUUUGGCCUAGAUGCUGGAAAAUAAUUUUAGGAUCAAAAAGUGAUUUAUUCUUUAAUAGAGCGUUUGAUAAUCUCUUUUUUAAAAAAAUCUGAUUCUGUCUUAAAAUUAGUUUUCUGAUUUUAGAACCCUAAAAUCAAAAACAGUUAAAACUUACCUCUUUAAAUCUGAUUCUGAUUUUGAAUUCAAAAUUUAAAUUUAAAUUUAAAUUUAUAAAUUUUAAAUCUCAAAUUUUAAACCUAAAAUUUAAAAUUUUUAAUUUAAGAUAGAAUUUAAAUUUUGAAAUUUGAAAUUUUAAAAUUUUAAUUUUAAAUUUUAAGUUUUGAAAUUUUAAGUUUAAAAUUUAAAAUUUAAAAUUAAAAUUUUUAAGUUUAAAUUUUAAAUUUAAAUAUAGAAUUUUAUAUUGAAAAUUUCAAUAUUCAGAUUUAGAUUUUAAAUAUCAAAUUAAAGAAUUAGUAGAUCUGUUCCGCCCGCAAUAGAGUUAUGAACUUAUAAAUUUUUAAUUUAAAAUUUAAAAUUUAUUUUAAAUUUUAAUUUAGAAUUUAUCAAAUUUAAAAGGCCAAUUUGCAUAAAAAAUUCGCUUAUUUUGGGUUUUUGCAAAACCGGGCCACCUUUUUCAUUUUUGCAGAUUCGGUCCGCUUUUUCAGCAAACUGACUAAAAUACCCUUAUACCUUUUUCACCCCCGCACCUUCCUCGUCUGCGACCCUGCCGAGGCCGCACCGCGACUUUUUUUUUUUUCCUCUCCAACUCUCCUCCACCGUUUCCGACGACGACGCCUCUCUCACCCUUCCCCGUCCUUCUCAUCCUUUCUCUCUCCUUCCUUCUCUGCCGCCUCCGACGACGACGCAUUUUCGCCGGCACUGACAAUAUGCUGGCGCAUCCUUACCCUCGCCUGCACAUCCCUGCGCCUUCCUCACCUCCGACCCUACCGAGGCCGCGUCGCAACUCUUUUUUUUGUCCUCUUCACUCUCCUCCACUGUCUCCGACGACGACGCUUCUCUUGCCCUUCUCCGCCCUUCUCGUCCUCUCCCUCUCCCUCCUCCUCUGCCACCUCCGACGACGAUGCAUCUUCGUCGGCGCUGACGCUGGCACCGACACCGUGGAGGUCACUGCGGCGCUGCAGCCUCGGAGCGGAGGGUUCUUAGCAGCAUCGUCGCCGGCGCCGUGGAGAGGGGUGACAAAAAAAAAUUAUAAAAGAAGCAAAAAAAAAAUAAAGAUAAAAAAGUAUAGAAAAGAAGGAUGAAGAUGAAAUUGCAUCGUUAAUUGCAAAAAAAAAUUAUAAGUUGCACUACUUAAGAUGUAAAAUAUAGCUUUAAGAUAAAAAUUACACUAUUUAAACGAAAAUUAUACUCUUUGGGAGAUAUUUACGCUGUUUCUCCUCUUAAUGCACUCUUUCAGAUAUAAACUGCACCUACUAAGAUAAAAAUUACACUCUUUAAACGAAAGUUGCACUGUUUCUCCUCUUGUUGCACCAUUUCUCUUUUUGUUACACUAUUUUUUAUCUUAAACUGCACCCUUUUAAGAGAUAUUUAUACUGUUUCUCCUCUUGUUGCACUGUUUCUUCUCUUGUUGCACUAUUUCUCCUCUUGUUGCACUGUUUUUAUUUUAAACUGCAUCCUUUAAGAGGAGAAACAGUGUAACAAGAGGAGAAAUAGUGCAACAAGAAAAAAACAGUGCAACAAGAGGAGAAACAGUAUAAAUAUCUCUUAAAUGAGUGCAGUUUAAGAUAAAACAUAGUGUAACAAGAGAAGAAAUAGUGCAACAAGAGGAGAAAUAGUGAAAUUUUCGUUUAAAGAGUGCAACUUUCAUCUUAAUGGAUGUAGUUUACAUAUGAAAGAGUGCAAUAAGAGAAGAAACAGUGUAAAUAUCUCCCAAAGAGUGUAAUUUUUGUUUAAAAAGUGUAAUUUUCAUUUUAAAGCUGCAGUUUACAUUUUAAGUAAUACAACUUAUAAUUUUUUUUUUCAGUUAACGAUGCAAUUUCAUUUUCAUCCUUAUUUUUCUAUAAUUUUUUAUCUUUAUUUUUUUUUCUUACUUUUUUUAUAAUUUUUUUGGUUACCCCUCUCUGCCAACGACCACGGCGUCGGCGACGAUGCCUCUAAGGACCUCCCGUUCCGAGGCUGCAACGCCGUAGUGACCUCCACGGUGUCGGCGCCGGCGCCGAGAUGCAUCGUCGUCAGAGGCGGCAGAGGAGGAGGGAAAGGGAGAUGACGAGAAGGGCGGAGGAGGCAAGAGAGGCGUCGUCGUCGAAAACAGUGGAGGAGAGUCGAAGAGGAAAAAAAAAAGAGCGGCGACGUGCCCUCGGCAGGGUCGAAGGCGAGGAAGGUGCAGGGGUGUGCAGGCGAGGGUAAGGAUGCGCCGGCAUAUUGUCGGCGCCGGCGAAGAUGCGUCGUCGUCGGAGGCAGCAGAGAAGGAAUGAGAGGGAGAGGACGAGAAGGACGGGGAAGGGUGAGAGAGGCGUCGUCGUCGGAAACGGUGGAGGAGAGUCGGAGAAGAAAAAAAAAAGUCACGGUGCGGCCUCGGCAGUGUCGGAGACGAGGAAGGUGUGGGGGUGUGAGGACGAGGGUAAGGAUGCGCCGGGCAAGCCGCCUCCUCCGCCUUCGUCGCUUUCUGGGAAGAGAAAGAAAAAAAAAGAACAACGGAAAAAAAAAGAGGAGAGAGAAAAAGGUAUAAGGGUAUUUUGGUCAGUUUGCUGAAAAGCGGAUCGAAUCUACAAAAAUGAAAAAGGUGGCCCAAUUUUGCAAAAGUCCAAAAUAAGUGGAUUUUUUAUGCAAAUUGCCCAAUUUAAAAAUCUACAUUAGAUUUUAAAUUCAAAAUUAUAAAAUUUUAAAGUCAAAUUAAAAUUUUAAAAUAAGAUUUAGCAAAAAGAUUAUUACUUACAAGCGGUAAAAUAAAUUUGCCAAAUAGUCUUUUAAAAUCACUUCAGCAUAAUUGUUUUCUUGUUAGACUCGUUAAACUCUUUAGAACUUUUAACCAAAUCAAAAUUUCAAACUAAAAUCAAUUAUUUAGAAAUCACUUUUUCAAAAUUUAGAUAGACGGCCCAAAAUUUUUUAGAAUUAUCUUAUCAAAAGUUUGACGUACAAAAGAGACAGCUUAAAUUUUUAGAAUAAUUGAUUCUUGUAUAGAUAUGUACUAAAAGGCAUAAAUAAUUCUAGUUAUUUAUCAAGUACAAUGUACAUCCCUUUUGACAUAAAUGGUACAAUUUGCUAUGUGUGGAUAUACUAUGAUAAGAUGUAAAUUCGCUUUGUUUAUUUUUUUUAGAAAUAAACUUAGCUAGAAAUAUGAAUCGACUACGAUUCGAACUUGGGACCUCGAGUAUUAACCACCAAGUCCUUUGCCACUUGCGCUAGGGGCAGUCGGUUACUAUGAUAAGAUGUUAGCUCCAAAGUAGGAGGAAGUUUUUUAUAUAAUAGUUACACCAUAUUAUUUAUAUUCUAACAAAUUAAAUCUCUUAUUUAGAAAAAAGAAAUAUAAUAAAAAUGUUUUAAAAAAAUUACAAUGGAAUAAAUGAAUCUUAUUAAUUGGAAAUGCUACAUUAUUUAUAUAACUCCUAUAUUUUAGCUUCUUUUUUUUCCAAAAUAGAAGUACAAUAUGUUUCACGCUAGCGGAAUGUCACGCCCCGGAUUACACGUUCCCCGGGCACGCCGACAGAUCCGCCGUAUACAAAGAAAUUUUUCCUGUAUACGAAGCGAUAGCUGUACCUGUAAAUCAAACACUACUACGAACAGUAGUAGAGAGCUGCUAGAGAAAACUGAAGCUAAAUAAAACAGAGUUUCAUAUACAUAGUUCGGAUCCCAAAUACAGAGCUACUCGCACUGGCGAGUUAAGUCAACUAUGUACACAAACUCGAAACAAAACAUCUACCUGCAGUAGGGCACCUCUAGCUCAGCACGUCGGGUAGGGCUCUAACUCGCGACGCCCUUGCCUCGAUCCUGAUCCACGGACUGUGCAGCAGCCGGAACCUGUGGCUCUGCAAAAACAUAGGUAACAACUGGGCGUGAGAACUACUGUAAAAACAAGUAGUCCUCAGUGGGUNNNNNNNNNNNNNNNNNNNNNNNNNNNNNNNNNNNNNNNNNNNNNNNNNNNNNNNNNNNNNNNNNNNNNNNNNNNNNNNNNNNNNNNNNNNNNNNNNNNNNNNNNNNNNNNNNNNNNNNNNNNNNNNNNNNNNNNNNNNNNNNNNNNNNNNNNNNNNNNNNNNNNNNNNNNNNNNNNNNNNNNNNNNNNNNNNNNNNNNNNNNNNNNNNNNNNNNNNNNNNNNNNNNNNNNNNNNNNNNNNNNNNNNNNNNNNNNNNNNNNNNNNNNNNNNNNNNNNNNNNNNNNNNNNNNNNNNNNNNNNNNNNNNNNNNNNNNNNNNNNNNNNNNNNNNNNNNNNNNNNNNNNNNNNNNNNNNNNNNNNNNNNNNNNNNNNNNNNNNNNNNNNNNNNNNNNNNNNNNNNNNNNNNNNNNNNNNNNNNNNNNNNNNNNNNNNNNNNNNNNNNNNNNNNNNNNNNNNNNNNNNNNNNNNNNNNNNNNNNNNNNNNNNNNNNNNNNNNNNNNNNNNNNNNNNNNNNNNNNNNNNNNNNNNNNNNNNNNNNNNNNNNNNNNNNNNNNNNNNNNNNNNNNNNNNNNNNNNNNNNNNNNNNNNNNNNNNNNNNNNNNNNNNNNNNNNNNNNNNNNNNNNNNNNNNNNNNNNNNNNNNNNNNNNNNNNNNNNNNNNNNNNNNNNNNNNNNNNNNNNNNNNNNNNNNNNNNNNNNNNNNNNNNNNNNNNNNNNNNNNNNNNNNNNNNNNNNNNNNNNNNNNNNNNNNNNNNNNNNNNNNNNNNNNNNNNNNNNNNNNNNNNNNNNNNNNNNNNNNNNNNNNNNNNNNNNNNNNNNNNNNNNNNNNNNNNNNNNNNNNNNNNNNNNNNNNNNNNNNNNNNNNNNNNNNNNNNNNNNNNNNNNNNNNNNNNNNNNNNNNNNNNNNNNNNNNNNNNNNNNNNNNNNNNNNNNNNNNNNNNNNNNNNNNNNNNNNNNNNNNNNNNNNNNNNNNNNNNNNNNNNNNNNNNNNNNNNNNNNNNNNNNNNNNNNNNNNNNNNNNNNNNNNNNNNNNNNNNNNNNNNNNNNNNNNNNNNNNNNNNNNNNNNNNNNNNNNNNNNNNNNNNNNNNNNNNNNNNNNNNNNNNNNNNNNNNNNNNNNNNNNNNNNNNNNNNNNNNNNNNNNNNNNNNNNNNNNNNNNNNNNNNNNNNNNNNNNNNNNNNNNNNNNNNNNNNNNNNNNNNNNNNNNNNNNNNNNNNNNNNNNNNNNNNNNNNNNNNNNNNNNNNNNNNNNNNNNNNNNNNNNNNNNNNNNNNNNNNNNNNNNNNNNNNNNNNNNNNNNNNNNNNNNNNNNNNNNNNNNNNNNNNNNNNNNNNNNNNNNNNNNNNNNNNNNNNNNNNNNNNNNNNNNNNNNNNNNNNNNNNNNNNNNNNNNNNNNNNNNNNNNNNNNNNNNNNNNNNNNNNNNNNNNNNNNNNNNNNNNNNNNNNNNNNNNNNNNNNNNNNNNNNNNNNNNNNNNNNNNNNNNNNNNNNNNNNNNNNNNNNNNNNNNNNNNNNNNNNNNNNNNNNNNNNNNNNNNNNNNNNNNNNNNNNNNNNNNNNNNNNNNNNNNNNNNNNNNNNNNNNNNNNNNNNNNNNNNNNNNNNNNNNNNNNNNNNNNNNNNNNNNNNNNNNNNNNNNNNNNNNNNNNNNNNNNNNNNNNNNNNNNNNNNNNNNNNNNNNNNNNNNNNNNNNNNNNNNNNNNNGCAGCUGGUGCUGUCACUGGAGUAGUCGGGGGUGGAACUGGCGACUCUGGUGCCCUCGGUACAGAACUCGGUGGCUGAGCUAUCCUCUCACACAACCUCUGCAAUAGCUCCCCCUGCUGUCUCGUCACCUCAGUCAGGGCAGCCAACUGUGCACUCAAAUCUGGGAAUGCACUCGCCUCCGGUCGGGCCCUAUGCUCUACAACUGGGGGUGCACUCGCCUCUGCCUGCUCAGGCAUCCCUGGAGAUCUAGCACGAUCCUGCGCCAACUGCGCACGCUCCCGCAACGACGGUCGGCCUCUGCGACGAUACAUAGCUGAAAAGAUCGAAUCGGGGUCAGUUGAAACACAAACACUCUUGACCCAAUCAAACGAAAGUCUAGAAGGCGGCUCCAGUUUCUCCUCAAAAUUAUGUCGUCUGCAGCCAACAUAAUUUCUCAGGCCAAAACAGAA